UAGCUUUCACAAAAAAGGCUGGAUUUCUCCGUGGGAGAAGUGGAAUCGGAAUCGGUUUCAGAACAAAAGGAACUCAAAGCAGCGCUUUCCCUUUGACCCUUGAAUCUAUCUACUCCGGCUACAGAGCAUGAAUGUGCUCUCGGUGAACUCCCUUUAGAUUCAGAGAAGACUGUUCCUGAUCCAUCCAAAGAACACUUGAGCCUGGUACUCACAGCUAAAGCAUUUCCCUUGUGCCUGCUAUUCCCUCUUCCAGAAGUGAAUCCGGAUCCUCAUCCUCAUCUCUUUCACUCUGGGCUUAUUCAAGAAUAGCUGAUUCUACCCCAGGAUUCGUACAAAUAGAAAGAAGCUGUUAUGCCACCUUCGCCCUAGUACAGGGGGAACUCCUCUAUCUGUUCCGUUGUCAUACUAGAUUCUCUAUUCUACCCUAGAGUAACUCAUUCCCUUUCGAGCUAAUGAGAGCUAACUGGCAAGAAGCAAGAACAUUCUCAGCUAACCGCGAACAGAGCAGAGUUCCGAGUCGCUUAUUUGAAUAUGACACUUAGUAAGCAAGCAUUCCUAACCGAGAAUGAUUAUCUGAUAUUAAGAACGGAACAGUUCCGAACACCUAUCCAAGCCAAGCUCUUUGCCGACUCUAUACCCUAUCUGUUAAUGCUUUUGUUCUGAAAUCGAUUCCUAUUCUUUUGGGGUCCUUGCCCUCCAACCAAGAAAGAUCAGAGAAGCUGGGCGAAAUCCUCUGUGCGGGUAGGAUUGAGACUAUGAUUUAAGGUUACAUUAGCCAAGUUCCAGCAAAAAGCUAGUAGAACUAUAGCCUGCCUUGCGAGGUCUCUCGAGCCUACUGUUAACCAAAGCGCUGAUCUCUUCUUUCCUAGUGAGUAAUAUUCUCCUUAGUUUGUACGCUAUUCGAGUCUUCCCCUUUAUUGUCCUGUCUGCAUAAAGACAGCCUAUGGUUAGUUCUUCCACUCUGCAUAAGGACAGCCUAUGGUUAGCUCUUCCACUCAAGGCUAUGACAAUCUAAAAAGAUAGAGUAGCCACCCUUCCUCCAAGACAGGAAUCGGUCAUUUCUUUCCCUUUAGCCUGCCGCUCUGACUUCUCUUCGCCUGGACUGCAGAACUAUAUUAUAUUCAAUAGCUACUCCCCUCCCUAGAAUCAAUAAAGUAUAAAAGAUAUAAUGAAGGUAUUAAAGACUUCCGACACAAGCGCUGUAACAGGCAUACUUCUACCUAGACCGCGUUCAACCCAACCGAUUACUUGACUUGAUUCCUUAUGGGUUUGGUGUUUCCUAUUAUUGACUUUACUCAGUGUACAUAAUGACAUUCUACCUUGGUUGGUUUCUUAGACUGUUGCUUCUCCUUGAUUCGGAUGGAGCCUUAAACGAAUCCCGGUGAGCAGAAGAAGGAAUCCAUCAAAACCCUGCACCCAAAACCUGUACAUAAAACGACUCACGGCUAACAACAACCCCGUUCGAAAAGACCUUUGACUCUUUUCUUGAUAACUUCGAUUGCUUUCUCCUGAACCAGCGGGUGGUGCGUGCUGACUUGAUCCGAGGUAAGCGUAACUUUCACUUUCGACUUUCCCUUCCGAGUAAUAUAGGAAGAUCUCUAUGGCCAUCUGUGUCCCAUAACGCAUCUAUCCUUGCCACUCUAUCUAGCUUUAUUUAUUUAUUUAUAUUAAGCCCAUACAUCCGAUGAACGAACGCGGAAUGUUGAAAGCAAUGGUAGGCUCACUACGAGUUAAGUAAGCUUUUUGUUUCGCUUCCGGACAAGUAGAAAUAAGCUGUAAGCCACUUAGUAUAAGGAAGGGCUACUUAUAUACUGAGAUACGGCUUUGAACUCAUGAGUUGUUGCCCCCUUUCUAGUUGUGUACAGUAGUACGAUAAGGAAGAUGAUUAGUGAGGAAGUCUAUAAAUGAUGACUAUUCCUUAUCCGUCUUAAGCCCUUCUUUCUACCACAUCUGGACGGAACCUAGAAUCCACAUUGAUUUGAGACUUAUUCUGUAGAUGGACACGAUUUCCUUGACUCUUAUUCUUAUUAAGAUGAAGAUUGAACUGUGACUUAAGGUACUUGUCCGACAGAAACAUCCUUACCUAUCAGGGUGCUUCUUCUAUACCCUUUUCUGGCGCCCCCUCGGACCUAGAGACGUAACCGGAUGGUAUGGGCCUGAGUCCUUUCUUUCACUCGCCCUCACUGGCCUUACCCCGUAUGGCUGUGCUUUCGUCUUCCCCUUCUGGUAACGAAAUGGUUUUACUACUGGAUCGAGUACCUUCUGAGACAAGUAAGUCCGGUGGGGUAGUGGGCUAGGCCCACGAAGGAGGCCGGUAAGUGGGCUAAGAUGCUUGCUUUGGGGGAAUGAGAAAGAAAAAGGCAGCAUGAUAUGAUACUAAGGACAUACCAUUCCUUAUCCAUGGUCAACAACUCUACUAAAUGAGUACGAGUGCUUUGUUGAAUCAGAAUCACAGAACUAGCACAAAAGUAUUCCAACCAAAUCAAUGUUCAGAUGUUCGUCUUCCAACCUAAUCAAUGUUCAGAUGUGCGUCUGCCAACUCACGAGUAGUUACCCUAUCCCUAAUCUAUUACUAUGUUAGAGUAUUCAAGUGUAUAUUAUUCUAUCUGUGCAUAUUAUUCGAACUAAGCCCCGCGUGGCCCUCCCUUCUGCUCGGGAUCACUUCUGUUUCGUUCCCUAUUAGACGAUGGACGAGUUAGGGAGCUAUUACAAAAGAGUGGUGCAAGCAAGUCCUCCCACAACUUCUGAGUCAGUGAGGUGGCUAUGAACUCAAAGUUAUGUCAUAACAGCCUUUUCCUCUUUUUCGUAAGGAAAGAAAGAAAUAAGCAUACUACGUGAGGCCUCGCCAAUUGAUAGGGAGGACCCAUAUUCUUUCCCAGGCGCGGUAUAGUCAAGUCUUGGCGCCCUUUCGGGGUCUCUGGUGUCGAGUCGCUAGAAUAGGAGCAUUGGGCACAACGAAUAAGAUUACAAGAAUAUCCGACAGAGGGGGCAGAACCACCAUAUUGUUGAGAAGACCCACUAGGCCCAAUUCCGUUUCUUUAUAUUCAGAUUCUCUUGAGAUUCAUAUUAUAAGGGAGAUAAGGUGUUCUAUUCAUAUUAUAAGAGAUAAGGGGAUUAGUUUACCUCCAAUAAAAGUCGUCUGUCUUGUUACUAGGAACGCGAAAACAACGAGUGAGUCGAGCUGAGCUUACUUUCGUGGAGGACAACAAAUAGACAGGGUUAACGAACAAACCUAUAGCUUUUACUCCGGGGCUUUUCAUUCAUGUUAUUCAUUGAACGAUUGUUAUUCCUUUCUGUAGAACAUGGAGAGUUACAGGUCUUUUGAUUGAUAGAGACCUUCCUUUGAUUGAGAGAGCCAGAGCCCUUCCGUGGUACAAGGGUAUACAAUUUCCAAUGAGAGACGCACAGAGAAGAGAAGCUUUUAAGCAAAGAAUAAGUCCUUUGCCGGGGUUUUUCUAUCGAUGAAGCCCAGCAGAGUAUCCCGCCCAACUCAACUUACCUCUCCUACUAUAUAGAGGUGUGCGUGAAGCUCGAUAGUAAACAAAUCCAAUGCGGGAAUAGCUCCUCUGAUUACUAUUACUUAAAGCUCAUUUUAUUCAAUUCAAAACUCCGGACCCUGAUUUAUAAGCCCAAACCUGACUUUACAAGUUCUCAACCACACCAGCCUUUGUGAGUAGAAGGCUUUGAACCUGUGUUCCCAAGAAAAGAGCGGCUACACUCUCUUUCUCUUUAUAUGCAAGCACUUGGAUCUCCACGCUAGAAUCCUAAAAAGCACUUCCUAUUUCGUGGAUACUAUCUUUUAUCAGCGCAUGCGAAGGGACUUCCACUACUCACCUCUGGUCCGCAGAAAACACACUUCACCAUAUCCAUAUAAGGUUUAGUAGAUUGUAAGAACAGCAAAGGCAAAUCCGCUGAGCAAAAUAAUAUGGUAUAAGCAAUUCCGAAGCAAGUAAAGAGAGUCCAAUGGAUUUCAUGGCGGGAUGCAAAUUGGCCACUUAAUGCGAGGGGAUGAAAAGAUCGAGACAGCUCUAGCGUGGUGAGAAAACCAUCGAUCCCUAUUCAUUAUUUCAAAUAACAAAUGGGCGCGACUAAACACUGACCCAGGAACGCAGGUAGGUAAGGGUGAUUCAAGUUCCAGAGCCCUAUAAAAGGAUGAGGUAAGGGUGAUUCAAGUUCCAGAGCCCUAUAAAAGGAUGAGGUAAGGGUUUACUGUCUGCAAGCCAGAAUGCUGACUAGCAACACCAGCAGACGGUAGAUUACGAGAAGGAAUUCCAAUGGGUAUGGGAAACUUUCAUGUUAGACUCAAGCUUCUUUCACUACAGGAGAUUUCAUGUUAGACUCAAGCUUCUUCACUACAGGAGAACGGACAGCUUUCGGGAACUGAGAAAUAUAUUAACUGAGCCUUAUCCGCAAGAUUGUUUCAAAACUAAUCCGAGUGGAGACUUUGUAACCACCACUACCUGUUUCAUGGUUAGGAAAAAAGGGUACCUCUUUUCAAAUAGGAAACAUAACAAAGGGAUUUGAGGUAACUAGACAGGAGUCGAAUUCCAUAUUGAUUUGAACAGCAGCUCUUGCUAAUAGCAUAGUAAGCACUAGGGUUCCAAUCAAGACAGCAAUAGUUUUCACAGCUUCCAACUCUGGAAGCGUAUUUGUGUUCCUCCUUGCCUUUUCUGAACCCAAAAUGAGAUUAUAGCCCUUUACCUAUUCAUCUUCGAUCCCCCGCAAUUCCUUUUAAAAAGAGAUAGGAAAACGCUUCAUGAAUGCACUGGUAAGACUCCAUUCUAACCAUAUUAGAAACUCAAUCAUCUUAUCCAAUCCACACACAGCAUCGUUGUGAUAUGUGGCACUCGGCGUAUUUCUAUUGAGAAUAAUAUCCACCCUGGGUUAGAUGUAAGCCAAAGAGUCGACCCGAUACAUAAACCAAAUGUUACAACAUCCAUUUCAGCGAACGCGGAAGAAUAUAGACCCACAUCAGGCAUUAUGUGCAAUGUCUUACCCUUUAUAAGAGGCAAUAAGCUACCUUUAGGUGCCCAAAAACUCGUAAUCCUUCUAUUCCCUUCUCGUCUUCUUUUGAAUUCCUUAUUUAUUCCAUCUCUGUCCUUUGUGAAAUUCCAUUAUUCUCAGGUUUAGCUAAAAUCCCCUUACUAUAUUUAUUAGCAACAAUCGUUGCCAAGAUGGGUAGAGGCCUCCUCAUUACGAGUUGCUGCCUACUUAUCGAUACAACGGAGAAAGCUAGGUAAUGCGCAGACACGGAAUCAAAGACGGGAGGCACAAAGCAUGGGCGACGGACUGAAUAAGUGUUUCGAAUACCACGAGCGCACCUGUCAUAUUUGAUACUGGCACAUCGAGUAGGGAACCGGUGGGUUCGGGGCAACCGGCGUGCUCUCUCUUUUAGGACUAUCUGGCCUAUCUGAAGUAAACAAAUCAUCAGCCACUGUUACUGUGCUUUCGAGCGGAACUUGAACCAACUCCCUUUCCGCGGUCAACUUCCCUUCCAGCUUCAGAUCCUAAUUUCUGAUGCCGCAUAAAUACAAUCAGAUCAAUAAGGCAAUAAGAGUAGAGCUCGAUUCUCUUCGAGAGUGGAUUCGGCUUCGGUUGGUUUAAGAUCCCGUUUCGGCAUCCUCUUUUGUUCCUACUUAAGAUCUUGUAACUGCUGAUGCUGCAAAUCCAUUGGUACUAUAUUCUGCCCUGUACUCUACACUUUCUUACCGGCUUUGAUGCGAGUAGUUUUGAGCUGAGCUCCUGCCGCGCAACUUACGUAGUUGCUUGGCGGCUUUGAUGCUCUAAGUUCAUGAGAGAGUCUAGGUUCUUCUAGUUACGAGUAAGGAGUUAACGCUAGGUGUUCGAGUUGCAUCCUAAGUGAAAGAGAUAGGAGCCGCGGAGUGAUAGUUGCUUUUCUGUUCGUUUCAUUCUGGAAUUCCUUAUUCCAUUUAGUUCCUAUUUCGGUCUACUUUAAAAGGAAUGAUUUCGCAUCGCCAAGUCCUGUCUUCGUGGCGUAAGGAGUGAAUGAAAGUGCUCACCUGAAACCAGAGUUGAGGUCGGAAAAACGAAAUCCUAAGGUACUGGCUUUGAUGCCCUAGCCCUACCUAAGUCAAUCAUACGGGAGAGGUUAGAGUCGAGAAGUAGUUGGAGGUGAUCGGACAAAGUCGACCAGAUCAGAUGCCGAGGGUGAAGAAUCGAUUACUUUACCAGAGCCUGUAGUUUCUCAUUCCAUUCUCCAUUAGGAGAGAAAGAGCACAUCAACUUACUAGGUUUUGGCGAGAGGGCUAAAGCUGGACUUGGUAACAACGCAACUAGUUAUUUGAGUUCCUGUUGCCGCAAGUAUAGUAGUAGCUGGUUGGUUAAGAGCAAUAGACCCAUAGCGGAGUAGCUGGUUGGUUAAGAGCAAUAGACCCAUAGCUAGGAAGAGGUAAAGUCAGAAAAGAAGUAUCAAGUAAAGUUGUCGCGUAUCUACUUAAUUAAGUAAGUAUCUCGUUCCACCGUAAGCAAAGGGUAGACCUAAAGUGCUUGCGCGUAGAGUAUAAUUGGAAAUCCAGUCUCAAGUAGUAAAGCUAGAAUUUCACUCACUCGUCUUAUAGCUCAGCAGUCCGCAUCCUAUCCUAUCCCGUAUCAAGGUAAGAAAAAGAAGAAUGAACUAGGUAUGAGAUAGAUGUAGGUAACAAACCGCCAAGCCAAGCCCUCUUUAUCUAAGUUGAAGCAAAGAAUGCAACUAUCAACUCGAAACUUAGUCUUGCCUCUAUCUCCUCUUCGUGUGACCUCUGAAAGCCUAAAAUCAUUCCAUUUAAAGCGGGUUUGAUCUCUUCGUAGUCCUGCUCAAGGGAAAUGAAACUUCUUCUCGAGUUGACAGCUUACUUCUGGGCUUGUCCCUUUUGGCCUAUGAUAUACCAUUGAAUCUUUACUAACUGAAUUAGGCUCAUCUAACGGAAUUCUUAUACUAUACCUCUGGCUCUUGAUUACUCGUAUACUAGUUGGGGCAAGAGGAUAGUCUGUACGUAGCUUGGCGAGUGGAAUUACUUGUUUUCUUCCAAUACGAGGGUAGGCUCAGUAAACCUCGGAUCCUAUACCUAAUUGGCAGCCUCAGCUACUGAUGCAACAGGACUCCUACUUGAUAUUCCACUUUACCACUACACCACUAUAAGGGGCUGUAAACUUGAGUGGAAUUCUUAUAAUACAGUUAUUGCUCUGGACUAAUAUACUACCCGCUAGUGUUCGCGACUUCAUAUAAGGGCAACUUGACCAGACUAGCAUAGCACUUAGGUUCUCUUUCUCCUAACUCAGGUAUUCCUACUUAUCAGGUCUCAGGUAUUCCUACUUAUCUGGUAUAUAUACUUAGAAUUAGAAGCGGUCUUCCAUUCCACUCCGGACUCCUUUACUAGUGGUAGCUUGGCUCUUACUUGAAACAAGCACUCCCGGCUCAUAUACCUCUGGCAACUGAUACUUCUUUGAUCUCUCUAGCUCAUCUACUUGCCUCUAAAACAUCUACUAGCAAUCCUUAAAGGUAGGCUCACUUCAACUAGAGCACAAGAACGAUCACUCCUAUGCUCACCUAGUAACUGACUUCGGGGAAUUAUGACCUUAUGUACUUGGCCGGUAUGAAACUGGCAGCUGGAAACUCUUCACUUCAACGGAAACUUACCCUCCAACUCUGCCCCAACUCCCUAAGCACUGAGGAAACCAGUAAAACCUUGAAUGGAACUUUCACUUACAUCGGUUUCUGAUCCUGCAGACAAACAAGCAAGAAGUUCACUUUAAGUUGAGCCAACAAAGACAGAUGACUUGAGAACAGUACUAUUUUAUGCUGCUGACUUGCGCCUUAACAGCUUUACCGACACAGUGGAAAUCCAAUCUUCUUCAAGAAGAACUGUUUCUAUACGAGACUCAACAUCAUUUGCUUAUAAUCUAGCUUCGGAUCCUGAUCCUGAUCGCGCGGAUGAUUAAGAUUCAGCUCCUGCUUAUACUUAUAAUUUAGACUCCACCUCAGCCUCCGCAGUUUCUAAUUAUGUCUUCACAUUCUUUCCCUUUUCUGUCGAACUCAACUCUAACUGCUGCUGCACUGGCGAAGUAAACCCCUAAACUGACUGCUUUCAUUCAAGUAAACUAACUCAAGUGAGCUCUCUUAUUACGGAGUCUAUUCUGCCUUACGAACGCUACCUUCGGGUCAAGAUCAGAACUCGCUUGUUUUGAAUUGAGCUGACAUUAUUCUUAGACUUAUUGAAUUCACACUAACACUAACAAAGUCAAGGGAAAAAUCCAAUCAUGGAAUUUGAGAACUAACAGUGAGUAAGCCGACGAAGAAAAAACUCCCUAUGAAAGAAAGCUCGCGUAAGCACAAUGUAUUGUUGCGACUGUGGCAAGUAAAGGAAAACCUGUUAAUUGAAUUGACGCUGAACUGCUUGCAACAUGGAAUUUCUCAUUUCUAUCUAUAAUAGUGACUUGGCUCUUUAUCAGAUUCUUAUAGGAGAACUUCAACUCUUCCUCGAACAGGCAAGCAACUACGGUGACUUCUUUCUAUUAUACCCCCUAAGGCUAGGCACACCUAUAAGGCACCAGUGGAUCUGAACUCAACCCUGAACUGAAGCGGGAAGGAAAGAAUAUAGUCGAGUUGGGUUUUGUCUUAGAGAAUGAAGCCUUUGAUCUGAUUCUCUUUCUGUUCACCUAGGCCUAGUGCGCGUUAGCAGAGGAUGCCUCUAUUCGUUCAAGAGACAGUGUACAAACCAACCCGGAAAGCAUAUAUUUGUUUUGGUCGGGGCACAAGAUAGGUAGAUUAGCCAUUCAAUGAAUUUGAUUAGUUAACAGUCAAAACAAGGCGAUCAUAAAGAUUACCUAAGCUCCCUUAGCGCUAAACUCCAAUCUGUAUUUCUUCAUUAAAGCUUGAACCCCAAAAGAGAUUAUGAGACUUAUUAACUUACCGUACUUCGAGCGUAUUAACAAACCAAACAAAGUAGGGCAAUUAACUACUCAAUUCUGUGUGAAGUCAACAAAGAAUUAAUUGAAUCUAUAUCGCCUAGCAUAGAUAGAACUCUGAGUCAAAAGAACUCUCCAGGGCAGCACGCAUCUCUUCUUAACCGCUACACAGCUUCAGAUCGAGCCGACUCACCCGACCAAGCAAACCUGAGCUUAGUAGCCGAAAAGAACCACUUCAAUUCUAUCUUAUAAUAUAAUAGAACUAGAAUAUAGGAAGGUACAACAGGUACAUGAAUAGUUGGACCCGUGAUUGAGAUGGAAAGUGCCAAUGUACAAUCAAUGGAUUUCUUACUAAAAUCAAAAGAUGGGUUUCGAGCCCCAACCCCUUAAAGUAGUGGUCUAAGUAGGGUGGGUUCAGUGAGUUUGACGGUGAAGGAAGUAUCUACCUUAUCCAACUAACCGUGCCUCUUCCCAUGUCCCUUAAUAUAGGCUUCAUUAAUGUAGCACUGUCCCUUAAUAUAGGCUUCAUUAAUAUAGCAUAGGAUCCAUCCGCCUAAAUUCCAUUCUGACUCUAUGGGUGGAGUAAACCAUUUAUUUGAUUGAUAUAUAAAGAAUUGGGUAACCCAGGAGAGGAGAGGGCACUUCUUCAUUUGAAAGGGAACCCUCCAACUUGAACUUGAAUGACUCAUACUCACUCCUAACUCUGUAAGCGCAAGGACGAACUCAAAACUCGCUUGUGGAAUUCCAUUGAACUGAAUAACUCACUAACGUCAAUGAGGACAGGACUGGAACUAGACUUUCUGCGCACCCCAACCCGGAGACUUCUUUAUUGCUCGACGCACCUAAACUUGUUUCUUGAACUCUACUUGCAGAAGUGCACUAAACUUUACUUCCUUGCUUCAGAUCAGAGAACAGGAACAGCCCAUUCUCUAAGAUAUGAUGAAAGUCGAACAGAGAUUUCAGAACGAUUGUCUUUCUAAGCCCGAAAACGGAUUGAACUGCUCCUGUGUUUGCAACUUUCGGAAUGAGUUUAGAGCGAGCAGCAGAUCAAACUGUUCCUACUCUGCUUAAAGAAGGAGUGAAGAGAUAGAUUAUACAGCUCCUUAACGACUUUAGGAAUGAGUUGAAUCUAUUGCACCGAGGAAACCAUGAAUUGAAGUUAGUCCAUCAGAUUGCCAACUCACUUUGACCACUGAGUCUGCUCUUGAAACUGCUUACACAGAUGACUUUCUAACUGUCUAUUUUGCUGCGGACUUUUGCACUCCACUUUCGUACACAAACUUCGCUGAAAAGCCUUGGUAUUUACAUCUUCGCAAGGAGAGGAGAGCCUCCAUUUUCUGAUGAUUCUGCCCUUCCUUCACUACUACUUGGGGCUGUAAACCUAGAUUUCUCAUCUACAGACCUAUGUGAAAUUCAUUUGAUAGGGAAUACCCGAUUGCUGUUGACUUUCUAACAGGACAUUAUACAGCUGACUGGAGUUACUAUAUCUCUAUUAGGGAAUCAGAGUAAUGAGCUAGGGUCUGCUAGAAGAAUGGAAUGGAAUAAUAUAAUAGUAGAAGAAUGGAAUGGAAUAAGAUGAUAAUAGCCUAACUGGCAUUAGGAAGUCCGACAAGCAACGGCAAGUAGUAGAGACUCAACGGAACUUCCCGUUCCCGCUUCGCUUCAAUUGGACGACUACGUUUAAGUACUAGUUGGGGCAUUGAACAGUACUUGCUUAUGACUUGUACGGAAAAGGGAAAACUCUACUUAAGACUUAACUGCAACACCAACACCACCGCUUGCUACUGACCUAAUACUCUCUGAACCAACAACACCAGAAUCUCUCUGUUGCUUCACAUAUUUACUCCUACAGUUGCUCACAAGAACGGAGCCGCCCUUCUUUCAUUCUGUAGCAGUGGAUAUGAGAUACGAGAUAUAUAGGGUAUACAGUAAUAUAAUAAAACAAUGACUAUAACCAGAAUGGAACUACCAGAAAACGGACUAUAACUACAGUCUCUGAGACUUAAGACUCGUCUACCUUAAUUCUUCCAGUGGGGAGUUCACUCUCAGCCUGACUUGACUUUCUAUCAGCCUUAGUUCCCUUUCCUUAAAGUCUGCCUUCUUGGACUCGGAUUCUUUAACUAUCCCCUAUGGAGGUAUGUCUUUCUUUUCUCUUAAACUACUACUGCCUACCCUAAUUCUGAUUCUAUUGUUUCACUCUGUCUUUUCUGUCUCUAGGGCUCCCUCCCUUUAGUUGAAGUAUGAUUCCUCUGCUAAUAAGAAAUGCACCACUACAUAUGAGGAUGAAAACACUGCUAACAGGGAUGGAACUACCACGAACAGGAAUACACCAAAUACCGAAAGAAUGGAACUCGGGCAACAAACUCAGAUUCCUCUGCUAAUAAGAAUAGAGCUACUACUGAUGGGAACGAAACAAGUAAGUAAAAGAGUUUGAGCUGGGCAAUACUAUGACUCCUUCCUCUUGGCCUACCUCUCCUUCCUUUUAGUAGAGUUUAAGUAUCAGUGAACUAAGGCCCUAAUACAUAAUUAUCGUGCACCCAAGAAUGGAAUUGAGCAGUCGCAGAAUGUGGCUACUAAGAACAAUAAUAAAACAAAGAACUAAUGGAAGCACUCAGAAUUGAACUACUCACUACCAGAAUUGACCUCCUUCUUGACCAACCCUAUCUCUGUUUCUUGCCUACCUACCUAGUGCUGUUUCCUUCCAUUAAUAGCACUCUCACUAUAUAGCUGAGUAAGCCCAAGCCUUAUUCUCUAUGCCUAUGUCCAAGCCUUGCUCUUUUCCUUGUGGUUGAGUCAGCCUUUCCUGUCAGUAAGUGUCUUCACUAUGCUUUUCAUUCUGCAAUUGCUUAUUUCGGUAUUGUAUAUAAUAUUCUCUUAAUGUUGAUUAGGGAAAUUGGGUCUCAAAAAGGCGAGUGGUUUUCUAUUCCAUUGAGAACUGUUGUUUCGGGUGUUAAGUAAACAUCACUCUAGGAAUUAAAGACAGAAGCCGGGAUCCCACUAGUGUUUCUAAAGCUUUAACCCACUAGCAAGACUCCACGAUAUGCAGGCUUAACCACCGUGGCUCGGGUAGCUAACAGUGUGGAUGUAUGCUCUUGACUCUUUAGGUCAAGCUAUUCCUUUAGUUUGUUUAGAUACAACUGCUUAGAUUCGUAGGUUAGCUUAGUAUAUGCUUUAUUGUAGCUCUACCAUUGAAAAACCACUUCUCUGACUUGAAUUCAGUAGUUCGUUUUUUGUCUUGUAGCUACUAUCGAUAUGCUAUGUAAGUGAUAGAAGUGAUGCUAUUAAUUGGAAUUCCUUGCUAAGCACUCAGUGCGCUCAGGGCUUGUUAGACUCUUCGCAAUCGAGGCAGCUAUUACGGAAGAAGAUUUAGGGGUACCCAGGAGACAAAGAGUACUCUGUGCCGGCUUAGACCUGCAACUACUGCUUAUCCUUUGCUUGUGGUAGCUGUCCUCGUAUAAACACCGCUUCGUUCCUAACGAAGCCAUUACCUGUAACCACAUCAUCGAACCUCCUGUACCACAAGAAAGAGGGAGACUUAUUUGCCCAUACUAGCAAGGAUUUCUCCAAUCGACAAACCAACCUUGUUCUAUGAUCCUGCUAUGACCAUGAGGCUACUCUAUAUGGAUCUCCUCAAAUCAAUAUCCUGGAGCGGAAAGCAGUGCUGUCUUCACUCCGGUUUUGCUCUAAAUCAAGUGAUGCUGCUAGUUAGAUCAGAACCUUAAUAGUUUUUAGCUUCACUCAAGUGGUAGGGUCUCAGGAUGACUCGAGUGGACCUCCUAAGAGGCUCUGGCUCCUUAACAGUGGGAAACAAAAGACCCUUUAUUCGUACAGAGCUAGCAUAGGUUUUAUGCACAGGACAGAGCUAGCAUAGGUUUUAUGCACAGGGUUACAGGAGUAGCGAAAGACUGAGCUCGCUCAUGCUCUCAUGCUUCACACAAGCCCAGUAUAGAAAGCUUUUAUUUCCAACCAUAUCAUAUGUAUUCUCCGAUCAAAGAACUAAACAACAGGGAAGGCUUUCCAAGAUUGCUUCCAAGGCGAGGGCUCGGCACAAUUAACUAGUUUCUCGACUUACUUAAGAACUAACCUUACUUAAGAACUAACAAGCGUUCGCAUCGAUGCCCUAGCUUCGUGUGGAGGGCACAAGACAAGGUAAAGACUUCUUCUCUUGUUAGACGUAAUGUAAUAUUAAUUCAGAGUCGCCAGGCGGGCCUCAGGCUUCAACCCCAUUGAUAUAAAUAAAACAACUCCUCCCUUUUAGACUAUGGAUCUAGCUCCCAACGACGCUCCCCCGAAGAGGUUUCUUUCGAGUAAGCUUGUUGCAUCAAGGCAUGUUUUGACAUUUCGAAAAAGUCACAAGCUUCGUAUAAAGCUUUUAGGAGGUUCAAUUCUGUUAAGGUAGCAUGGAUAACUCAUCUGCUUGUCUGGUGUAAUACUAACUUGUAAAUAAGUGGUGUCAAUAGGAUACAAAUGGAUAAGCGCACGGUAAUGAGGUGGGCAAAGCAAUCCUGAAUGAGCGCACGGACGUACCAUAGCAUUAGGCGGUCAGUCAAUCUAUAUAAAUAGCCAAAUAUCAUUCAUUUCCUAUCCCUUUUUCCAAAGUGUCUUUCCAUUUCAUUAUCUGUUUCCGUAUACUUUUCCUCCACUGAUGAAUUAGCCCUUGCCUUGCCCUAGCUUCCAGAAAAAUAAGUAAACAGCAUCGCGAACUUUGGAUAUUCUGCCUUAAUCAAAUCCAACUCCAUUGAAGGGGAACGAACGCACAUACUAAACCCAUGAAAGCUUGAAACUAGUUGUAUUAUAUUUCCAGAAAAGCUUUCAAGUGAAAGGGCCCGAUGGCUUUCGAUUCUUUUUUGAUAUCUAUAGCCAAAAGAGACCGAAAAUGAGUGAUUUGAAACUGAUUACUUACAUACUGGUGAAACUCUACUGGUGUUUAUGCACAAUAAAUCGAAUUCCCGGAAUUCUCUGUAUCUGUAAGGGUGCACUGGGACUAGAUCCCUUCCUAACUGAACCACUCUCCCAAAAGAAGGGAUUCAAGUGGGGACUGCAAACAAAGGAAACUCGAAAAGGCUCUAGGAACUUCCAUUCAAUGGACCUAGCAAUAGCUGCCAGCAUAGGCUUGUGUUUUUCUUAAAGGAGAUCCGGCUGUAACAGACUCAACGAUGGAAUUAUCCCUUGGAAAGGCAGAGGAGAAUUCGAAAGCUUGAUCACUCGCUUGCGAACUUACUGCAUAAAGGAAUUAACAAGGAGCAACUAACCUUUCUGCGUUAUAACAUUAGGAACCUUACGCCCAUAUGAAAGAAAGCAGCCAAAACUGUAUAUAAGAUCAGAUGAAAGAAAGCAGCCAAAACUGUAUAUAAGAUCAGAGACGGGUUUAGCGAGAAAAGUCCUUAGCUCACACCUAUCUUUGAUCAAAUAAGCAAAAAAGCCAGCGAGUUUAGGUAUAAAGAACAGCCAGUGUCAGAGAGAUUACUUAUGUUUCACUCUUCCUUAUACAUGAAGGGAAUGAAUGCCUUAAUUGAAUGGAAUUCGGGAUCAAAGUGGAUUAGGUGAAGUUAAGGCAAGCAUGAGUUCAACCCUUUUCUCAUCUGGCCAGGAUCGAUAGCCGUUCGACCUGAGUGAAGUGCGGUCAGAUUCCGUAUCCCCAAUUUCUUGGUCUUUCUCAUACUCUAUUAGUUGUCAUAGUUGUCAGAUCAAUUCCCAUGCAUUCUUUAAUGGAAUCGGAAACGGGCAGAGCAGCGGCUAUCCGGAAUGGGGCCUAUGCCUCAACGACUAUCUAUGAAUGACCAGGAUCGGAAUGCCAAUCGACGGGAUGCGCCUACGACAGAUUGAAAGUUCCUACUAUGAUUACAGGCAUCCUCACUUACGCAACGAAAUGACGAAUCCACCGAUCAUAAUAGGAAAGUGAAAGGUUAGCCUCAUACCUUUUAUUGCGAGGUGAAACACUCACCAGGAUACAUGAUCCUAGGCGAAAACAUGAAAGAUGAGCCAAUCAUAUCAUAAGCGGCACCAUCAUUUCCUCCAUAACGCGAGAAACCAACAACUAAUGUUUCAAUGAAUAAACAGCUGAUGGACCACAUAGUUUCUUCUUACCAGCGGAACAGAAGGCUCUUCAAGAUAUUUCCCAAGCAUACCCUUUUAACCAAAGGAAAGGGAUGAGCCGGAAAUCAUAAACAUACCUUUCCAUCAACCCUACUUUUCUCUGGAAAUGACAUUGGCAUAUGCCUCUGUCCUCUGAGCCUUCUCGGAUCGGUAAAGAAAAAGCUGCUUUGUUAGAGUAUUAGGUAGGCACCCACUUUAGGCGCCAAGAUAAUGAGUUUGUUAACACCCAAUAAGUCAAAGUCAAACAGGUUGGAUUACUUUAGUGUCAAAAGGUUUCUCCCGGGGAUUAUAGACUAGACCUAUAUGCUCUGGCUAAGGCUCUAGGUCCACUGAUCAUUAGGUUAAGUCCCUGGUGAUCGAACCAUUACUAUAAGGUUAACUCUGUCCCUCUUUCUUACGAUACAGUUUAGUCCGUCCCUUUACACCAUUAUCAAGUUUGAGUCUUUACAAAGUGCUUCUCUUCUCGGGCUCGGGAAAGCUAUUCAGGCAAGUUCAUUUGCAAGCCUUUAGCCGAAUAAAGCUAUCAGCAAAACUGGCACCUCACCUUUUGUCUGGCCCAAAAGCAAGGAACAGGCAAUUCUCUAAGACAAACUGAUUCCACUCAAACAGACCAGCGGGCAACUCACUUUCCUGUCGGCUUCUGUCCCGGAUCCGGUUCCUAUUUCUGAUCUUGACUCGGAACUAGAAGAACCAGACAAGUCACUGCCUCUCUCGCCUGCUCUUCCUGUCUUUUAUUCUAUCUAUUUGAACAAGUAGCGGUUGGUUUAGGGCCUAUAUCGUGUACCUUACUUCUAUUAAUGCCGAGCUUUCUUCUUGUUAUCAUUGGUUUGAUUAUUUGACUUACUUGUUUCCAGCCUUUGGAUUCCCUGUUAGUAGCUUCAGUCUUAUAAGCAUUGGUUCUAUCCAUGCAGAGGGGUCUUAUAAAUAGUAGUUACAGCCCGAGAAGCAGUAGCGGAGUUCCUAGUUGAGUUCAAUGAACCCGGUAGACCAGAAAGAGAGUUAGGGUGAGGCUCAAGAGGUAAACCAGUGAGUGAAAUUCUUGGAUUCUAUUUAGCCAAACUAUCCUUUCCUCGUCCUGCACAUCUUGUCAAUUUACCUACUCCGGAAAGGAGAUACUUCCCUAAGACAUUCAGCUACUAAUGACUCGGUAAACGGGAAACUCCCCCUUUCCAUAAAACGGGUAAUGAUGUAAUGAUGUAAUGAGAACCCGAGCCCGCCUCAAAAGGAGUACUAGGUGCAGAGGAAACAAAUCAUUGAACCCUGUAUCGGAGUCAGAGAACGAAUUCUGAUUUAUUAACUGAAAGUCCUGUGUUCAUGACGGCUGUGAGUAAUAACUACUAACUGACUUUCUACAACACCAACACAACCACUUGAUACUGACACUUGGGCGUGAGGAGCUAUUGCUAACAAAAGUACUUUCUUUCUGCCCUUACUUACUUAUCUAAAGUACUUUCUUUCUGCCCUUAUUUACUUAUCUAGGGUUUGAUAAGGCCUAAUAUAUAAUUCGGGAAGGGCCAAGCAACAUAGUUAGUUGCGCGGCAGUAAGUCAUAGUUAUGUAGAAGUUAUUACAAUAGAUGUUUUCAUGGGAAAAAGAGCAGUGAAAUCAAUCUCUUUCGUUGCUUGGUUCCAUCCGUUGAUGUAUGGGUAUGGCUCCAUCGGUCCGGCCAUUGUAGCUCCCAUUCUUUCCUCCUAAACCCCACCCAUAACAUAAGGUGCUGACUUCUCUGCUAAUCAAACCCCUUUCACUAUCUCCAGCUGGAAUCUUAGCUCUGUCUUGGUAUUCUUCGCCAGGCCAUUUCCCAUCCUAAUGCCCCAACAUCCAUCAAUCACAGGAACCCAACAUAAAUCAAUCAAUGCUUAAAACAUCGAGAUAUAGGAUUUCGAAUGGCAGUAUAGUUGAAAAGAAAUGAGGCGCUGGUUGCUGCUCACUCAAGUAAGGGCAGUGUUACUAAAUUCUCAAAUAGGUAGGUGAACUCUCAAUUCCUCCAAAAUGGAUAUAUGAGAUGAACUUCUACUUUCGACUUUAGACUUCUCUUGCAUUAACUUGCGCUAACGUUUAUUGAGCAUAAGUGCGUUAGAAGGAGUUCCACAAUUCCAAGCGUUCUGUAAAGUAAUCAAAGAAUAUCAUAUAAGUGUGCACACAAUCCAAUCAUAUAACUGACAGAUUCUAUAAGUUAGUAACUUCCCUGCUGACAGCUUCCUUCAAAACUGACUUCAUUGUGCGAAACUCUAAACUUGUUUAAGGCCCUUACUUAAACUAACUCACUAACCGCUAUAGGGCUUUAUCACCUUUUACAUAUGAGAGAAGAACACCUACAAUGUACUUUUACAUAUGAGAGAAGAACGCCUACAAUGUAAUAGAAAGUAUAGUAACAAAGCGAACCUAGCACUAUAACACCCCGGUAACAAAGCGAACCUAGCACUAUAACACCCCGAAACUCACUCGAAUAAUCAAUAUAUACAUGCGCGCGCCCCGGUAGUGAGUCAGUGCCGCAGUAGCUCAAAGUCGUUCAGUGUAUAAAAUAAGAUAUAUGCUUCUUUUGGCUUUCUUUGUAUACGAGUGGAGUUACCAGGGUUCUAUAAUCUAAAUUGGAACAGUGAAUUUGAAUAGAGUCUAUCAGGUCUCAUUUCUAUAAGUAGUAGCUUUGCUUUGCUUGUUUAUUGGAAAUGCUAGAUAAUCUUCCAUGAUAAGGUUUUUCACCGAGAAUAGUUUGAUUUCACAUACGGGCGAGCUCUGUUAGCACAAGAUCGUCUUCUUCUCCUGGCCUGAAACCCACUACGGAAUGUGGAAACUUAUCUAAAUAAUAGCAAUACUUAGGACGCUUUAGAUCAGCUUUCUACUUAGGACGGCUUUAUAUCCGCUUUUCUUUUUGGGGUGAGAAAUCUAAUACUAAACGGUUCAAAAGGGGCCAAGGGCCAAGCUUAGUAGUUAGUUGGCACCUAGUUGUCUAGUAGUUGCUUGGUCAUUAGUAGUUACUUGUCUAGUCGUUGCUUGGCCGUUAUGACUGUCAUUUGGCUGACGCCGAAAACAGGACUUGGUUAUACUUUGUAAUAUCUAUUACCUUGGCUACCGCCCAACGUCUUGCUUAGCCUAAAACUCACUGCCGUUUCACUCAACUCCUACCGCUUUUCAGCUCGCUGACGCGACAGCGAACACAUAACUAGUAAUAACUGGGGAACUCUAGCGGCCCUGCCGCGCAACAUUAGUAGUUGCUUGGCCCUAUUGUUGUUACUGCCGCCGAAAACAUCUACGAAGACAGUUUAAAGCUCCUCCGCGACACAUUAGCAGUGUCUUGGCGGCUAUAGCUCCUGCCGUACAACGUCUUUCGCCGUUGCUUGGCCGUUAUAACUGGUUAUUUGCUGCCGCGUCACAUUAGCAGCUCAAUAACUCCUGCCGCGCAACGUUAGUAGUUGCUUGGCGGCCGGCUCACCGUUGCUUGGCGUCUAGUAGUUACUUGGCCCAGUCCUGUUGUUGGUGACGAGCGGUGCAAGGGUGCUUGCUAUAUAGGUAAGGGCUGAGUCCUGUCUUCAUGGGACAAGAGGUUUGACUACUCCCUAAAAUCAGAAUACAUAUUAGUUGGCUACGAGGGAGGUUAGAGUGUCGGUGCCCUAGCUAUUAAGUCGUAGAGAUCAGAAACGGGGCGGAGCAGACCACUUAAAGAAUGCAACAUAUACGCAUGAGCUGAGCAACUUUCUCAAGAGAAUAUAUAAGUGAUCAGGAGCUGAGCAACUUUCUCAAGAGAAUAUAUAAGUGAUAUAGAUAAUAAGUGAUCCAGCUUCUUGCCACAACUCGUGUAUACUCGGUUAAGCCUUACCUCUGUCAACUAAUUCAAUUACAAUAUCGGAAGAAACAGAAUCUUUAGCCGAGGCGGGGGGAUGUAAUAGACAUCUAAUCAGACUUUGGAUAAGGAGCUAACAAGCAGACACAAGUCUCAAGGACCAAGCGGACUCCUCAUUAAGUAGACCCUAGACAAUGGAAUUCUUUCCUUUAAGAAUAUAGUUUACUUACCGCCUAUAGGGCUCUCAAAAUACCCUUGCAAUAAUACAAGCGACUACUCUAGCAUGGGAAGCCGAAUCUACUCUUUUGAAUGCCUACUAUGCGCUCAAGGGAAUAACCACCAGUUCUUGGACGUAUUAUGGAGGCUUCUCUACUUCUACUCAAAAGUAUUCUACUAGAUACGAAUUCCACUCGCCCAGCAGAGCCAGCAGGGUUCACAGAGAAAUAGCAUUUGCAUCUUUGACUUUACUUGCAGCCGGGUAAUGAGUUAUAAGUGAGUCCUGCAUCCGCCCUUAAACUAGAUCAUACCUAUGCUUAGUAUUAAGAAAAGAAUGAGGAUUGAAGCGUUAGGUUGAGUUUUGAAUUAAGCCUUAGUGAGUGGUACGUAAGGCGGGACAGUCUGUUGACGACUUGGAUCACGACAGCGGGACAAUCCGUUUUAGUUUCGUCUCUUUAGGUGCUUGCUUGUUAGUGAGUUCGCCGUUGAAGACUUAUAUUCUUCCCCUAUUCUCAAGAAGCGAGGGCAAUAAGAGAAGGGAAUAGAGUUUCUCGGUAUAGAAAUUCUAUUGGUCAUUAGAUAGGUGAUUGUGCUCUCGUAUCAAAUCCAUAAUGGAAUGUUUCAUCGAAGGAAGGCGAAAGUAGAAAGGAUAAGUAAAGCUUGUCAGCAGCAAGGAAAGGGGAGUGGUCGUUAACUCAUUGAAACUAAUAAACUGGCCUGAGAAUGCAUUUGGAGUGUAUACCUUAACCAUCUUCCGUAUCAGCAGGAGCGAGAGAAGGCCUAAUAUAUAAUUAGGGAAGGAAUUCUAGUAUUGAGUGCUCUUAGUUGGAAUUGCAAGUAUUAAUUGCACCCUUAUUAUAAUCCGCAAGAGAAGAGUAGAGGGAUAGUUGCCUGAGUUGGAUGAGCCGGGAGUUAUAGUAGAAUAGAAAUUCUAUAAGAUGAAAUGAAGCAAGUCAUAAUGAAGUGUUUGUUGACAGAGCCCGAGUAGCCAGAGAAGAUAGAUUGGCAGUUGCCAUAGGUAGAUUAGCCUGAGUUCAAAGAGCCCGAGUGAGGUUGUUUUAGGGUCAAGAGUACAGAGCAAGAGUUUAGGUCGGAACAGAAUUAGCGACUGCUGAGGUUUAGUCUCCAGGCAAAGUAUAAAGAAUAGAGUAUCAUAUACAAGCUAGAGCAGUAGAAGAAAAAGUAUCAGAUGCCAAAGAUUGAGCUGGAUGAGAUGAUGCAGAAGAAGUCACCCAUAAAGUAAGAAUGGAAUUCGAUCUUGCCCCCUAGUCUAGUGCUCUUAACGGAAAUCCUAUUCGGGUAGGGCUCUGUGCAAGGAAACUCCAUUCUGGUAUUCGGGAUUCUAUAACUCCUUUAGCGCCAAAGGAACAGUGACUUAUUGGAGUAAUGAAGAUCUGAUUGCGUGGAGAAGACUUUGCUUGUUUAGUAGUAGCUUGGUGGAACUCACUGACGCUCACUCAAGGGUACCUCAUGAAUAUGAGUUCUGUUCUUGCGUCUUAUAUGGAGAGAAAUUACUGGUGUACAAGGCGCUCUUCAGAUUCAAUUAAUAGCGCUGGCAGGAUUCAAUUCAAUGAUGAACUUCAAUAAGUGGGUCAAUAACAGAUAGUGACUUUCCUUGUAGUAGAGUUCGGAUCAAGAAGGGAGUUUGCGGAACAAGUCUAUUUCUUGCUAGGAAAAUAUGAUCAGCUGCAAGAUAUGGGGAAGGAACUUCAUGUCCUGUUUUAUUCGUUGUUCUAGGCGUCAAUGCAUUAGUUGAGCCUGACGAGCGGUUCCAUUCAAAAGGUGAUCUCGCGUUAGGAGUGAAAACGCAAAACGGAGAAAGCGGAAGCCGUAUCAUCAGCAGUUCCAGUUUAGUACGGAGUUGAAUACUAUACAGAAGGUUAAGAUCAUCUCGAAUCGACAAGUAAAUAACCUUUCUUAUCACCUAUAUUUCUAUGCAAGACUAAAACUCACUAACUAGGACUUCUUCUGAUCCUAAACGGAACUAUCUUCUUGCCCGAACAAAACCGUGAAGGGAACUUUCAGCUUACUGAUUACUUUGGUACGGCAUCAGAUCUCGUCUCGUCGCCAACACCGAGAUACUAAAUGGCUUAUUCUCUCUACUCCUUAUGCUUGAACCGGGUUCUUCUCUUAUUCCUACUCCGGGUACAGCAAUAUUCUCUCUUGUUCCGUAUCCUUAUACCGUAUAAUAUGUAUUCUCUUUCCAAAUUCCCUAUUCCAUUAUUUCUUCUCUUAUUCCGACUCUUAUAAUAUUUCCGACUCUUAUAUAUCUUCUAUUAUAAUAUUUCCGACUCUUAUAUAUCUUCUAUUACUAGCCUACCGUACAGGAACGUAUCUUUCGAACGGAAAAGUAUAUCGGUGGCGCAAGUCCAAGUCAGAGUAGAAAGUGUCAGCAGCAAGGGCGCAAGAAGGAAAGUGGAGUUCCAGUUAUUGGCUCUAAGUCUCAAAGAUCCGGAUCUUUUCUUGGUUCUAAGUAAGUAUCUAAAGCGGGAGUAUCAUCUCUUUGUGUGCCAGUGUUGUCAGGUUGUGUGCCAGUGUUGUCAGGAAAGGAAGUUGAUAAAGCAGAUACAGCAAUAGAUGCUAAGUCGGGAAAGUAUGCCGAAUCAAUCUCUACGAGUAUGGUUCUUGUCGCAAGUGAAAGAUCAUUAGCAGGAUUAGGUACAGGCUUUGUUGCGAGGCCCAUAACCAUAAGAAAGCUAAGAAAAGUAUGACUCUUCUCCCGGGCAAUAAAGAGUGAAAGUAUUAUGAAAGUAUCAGACUUACUAGUAUGCGCAGCUAGUUUCGUUUGGGGUAAUUAACCACGAGUAUAGGAAUUAGCUUAGUGGAUGCACGUAAUCAGAACUAAACCCAGCUGUAUAAGAGUGGGCUUGGACCCUAAGGGGGGAGAAUCUCACUGAUGUGUGGUGUAGUUAAGGAAUGAAACUCAGAAGUAUAAGAAUGCAAACAGUAAGUCAAAGAGUGAAACACGGAAUACAGAUGCUACCCGGGCUCCAGUAAGAAUGAAAGAAAGCUGGUUAGGUUUUCCGGUGGCAAGUAAGAAUGAAAGACAGGAAUUGAGGAAUCGAACUCAUUAGUCAAAGAAUUCCACUAUUGGAAUUUCACUACUGAUAACAAGGCGCGAACUACGACUAACAAGGCUCGAACUACCACUAACGAGGCUAGCCUAAGGAAUUCCACUCAGUAGUCACAGAAUGGUUAAGUUACAUCAUAGGGAAGAAUCAAACUCAUUAGUCAAAGAAUUAGUAGUUAGUCUAGGAAUUAUGAGCAAGGAGGCAAGUCUCAAUUUGAAGCCUGUGAACCCGGGAAACACCACAAAUAGAGUAGAAAAACGAAUAGAGUAGAUAAUAUGUUCUAAUAUAGUACAGUACAAGACAAGACUUAGAGUAGUAAGUAUAAGAAUGAAAGUGGUAAAGUCAGAUAGAGUUAGUUGAUCCCUUAUUCUUAUGAGCUAGUAUAGUUAUCGGUCAUAUCGGUCAAGCAUUGCCUCUGCUACUUAUCUCUGGAAUUGGGCAAUACACUUAAUAAGGGCCUUAUAGUAAUUUGGGAGCGAAACUAUUAUUAUUAGUAGGAAUACCGAUCCUGUUCGGUUGUAGCUGGGCCUAUUGACUACCUCCUUCUUGAUAAGCCUGAGCGAGGUAUCGAUUCUAAGCCGGGUUGACCCUUACCCUUAAACAAGUAAUAGAGUAGUCCAGAGCCAUAACUGGAUUAGUUGCAAGAGGCGAGGAAGUAUUUGUUUAAAGAGGAGAUGCAAACUAGUGCCUUUAAGGAGAAGAGCCCUAGGUAUAGGAGCAGGAUAAGAGUCAGAUUAGGAAGGUAGAAAACGAAAGAAGAAAACCGGCUGGCUAUCUAUCCGGAGUUGUUGAAUACCGAGGGGGAGAGUCGCUCUAGUUUCAUGAGUUGUCGAUGUAGUCCUGUUUUCGGGAGCCAACUAGAGCUCAACAAAGUGUAUAUGUAUAUAGUAAGAGCUAUAAGCAAGUCUGCCUAGUAAGAGCUAUAAGCAAGUCCGCCAAGUAGCGUAUAAUGUGUAGCGGCAGGGCAGCUAGUUCGAACGGGCCAAGCAGACUUAAUAAGCAAGGGCGCUAAGAACAAUUAGGGAGCACAUACAUGAGAUGGUUAAGGUAUACACAAUAAAUGCAUUUAUUUAAAAGGGAAUAAAAGCAGAAAUCGGUUAAGGGAAUCAAAGCAGAAUACAGGCUUGCGGUUCAGUAUCUAGGUGUUGUAGGCAGUAGCUGCUUUUAAGUAGUAGUCUAUUUUCUAGUAGUAGUGUAGAGGUGGAUAGUAGUUUAUUUGAGUUCCAGUGUCAUUGUAGAGAGCAGAAAGAAUGCGAAGUCUCGAUUAUAUGCCGGAUCAUAACCAUAAGCAGGAGAAGUCUUUAGCCAGGUAUUAUAUAUAGAAGUAACCUCAGAGUUAUUAUAUAUAGAAGUAACCUCGGAUAGCUAAAGAAGUCACCUCGGAUAGCAGAAUGAAGUAAAGGAUCGGAAGAAACAGAUCGAAAUACAAAGAAUGCAACAAUAUAAGAGUAGUGAAAGAGUAAAUGGCUCUGUCUCUGCUCUACCUAUUACAGCUGGCUCAAACGCACCUCUGUGGCAGCUCCCCCGGCUUCCUCUCUUUAUUCCUACCACUAGAAUACCAAUACAUAUUCAAUUUGACUCUAAACAGCCUUACCUCCUCUUCACCUAUACACCUCUUCUUUGUAUGCUACCUAAACUUCAUUUCCAUCUUUCUUCUUUUCGAGCACCUGUGCCAACACCUGCUCCUGCGCCAGCACCCUACUUUCUAACUGGAUACUUUUUUCAAUAAAUUCAUAAAUGAAGUAGCGUCGACAGUAUAUGCUUGUCCCUUUAGCAUCUUAUGAUAGGAAUAAAGUAUAACCGUGGAAAUCUAUUUCUAACCUAGCUGUAAAGAGAGUUGGGCUGGGCCUGGACUCUAUGAAUCAUGAAUCUCCUCUCUCCAUCUUAUAGAAAUGCAGGUCAAUAACCUCCAUAUACUGAUGGAUUUAGCGCUGAACAAUACUUCAAUUUCUUAUUCCCCACACCCCGCGUAGCCAGUAAUUGAUUAUACUAUUCCUUUAUACCGUACUCGACUAGAGGGGAGCUACAGCCUUAGACACGAGUACAAGCAAUAACCUCUCUUCAUUAAUGUUGUGCCUGAUUGCUGACAUGUAAAUCUUUCUUUAUGCACUUUGCUUGCUUUGUCUGUAAAUAGGCGAAUGCUUGAUUUUCUUUUCUGUCUUCAAGAGAUAGAAGAGGGAUUUGUUUCACGAAUGAAUACGUACUUUCUUAGUGCUGGCUGGAGUUGGGAUUUCGCUUUGACCGAUUGGCUUUGCUUUGAGGAGGCGGCAUCCAUAGUAAUAUAAUAAUACAGCGUAACUUGCGCUUAGUCCCUUGUUGUUGGGCCCAAAAGAAUGCCUUAAUCAAUCCAAUUUAUAUCCCCGAGUAGGACAACCAUAAUAAGCUCCUACUUAGCGGCCUCGUAUUCAAUCAGUUAAGCGAGAGCUGGAAUGGAAGGAUCAAUUGCAAGCUCAGAGGGAUUAAUAAGUGGAAGAAAGUCAGUUGUUCACGAAUCCACUCUUCAAGAAUGCCUUCUCCUAUAUUUAGAAAUAAUCCCUAGCUAUUGAAUCCGGUCUUUUAUCUUGAUGCACAGAAUGCCUUGUUCCAGAUGUAGAGUAAGAGCUCUUGGAGGGAUCAAGGCUGGUGCCUCUAAUGGUAUAGGCUGUGUAUCCAUUUCAUCUGGUCUUUCGGAAUCGAAUGCCAUGGAACUUAAGGGGAAGGAAGGAUUUGACAUUGAAGGGGAGGAAGGAUUUGACAUUGAGGCGAGACCAUAUAUAUAAGAAGAAAGAAUCUGCCCAUUGACUAAGUACUCUGAUUCUAUGAUUGGAUAAUAAGAGCUCUUUCUUUGAACUUCGAUAAUAGGGGAAGAUGGUGAAUCUGUUGUCCACUUCGACGCGGUGCGGAGCCAACGGAUUUCUCCUUAUCCGAUUGGGGAUUUCCAGGUUCUCCAAUAAGCCUGAAAGUAGGGAUCGAUAAAGUGCUAAAAACACAAUUCCCAGCCCCUAUGGAUUCUAAACAAGUAGCCUUCCAACUCUUUUUUUUGAGAUUCUCUCGCAUAAAAGGAAGUAUUGGUAAGCUAUUUGGCGGUAAUUCCAAGAGAUAGAGGUCAUUCGAGAAGGAGGGACUAUGUGAAUCUUCUAUCUAUUAAGGCACUUUUGGACCCUACCCGACCAGAAUAAAGUCACGAACAAGUGGUAUAACAUUAAUAUAGGAAGUCAGAUCUAUAAAUAGAGGAAAUAAGAUCUAGAUUCCCUUAAAGGGUAAAGCAAGCAUUCUGUGGAGGAGCCCCAGUGAAGAUCAUCUCUUUCCUCUUUCUUCUGACCUUUUUACCUAUGACGAGGGAAGGGAGAAAAGGGGCAUUUCAACCAAUAAGUAGAAUGUGAGAAGGAGCAGACCCAUCUACGAAGAUGCUUUUCCAGAGGGAGCGACGGGCCCAGCUCUUUCUUUCGAACUUCUUUGGCGCAGAUUUCACAAGUCAAUUUUGCCCUGACUAUACUUGCUUCGGCAGAUCCAUUUUGCAGGUUAGCUUCGGGGUCCCCAUAAGGGAAGUAAACUCGUCCUUGAUAAGUAAAGCUUUGUCCCUAUUUAUUGGGCAUGAGCGGGGAUAGCAGUAAUGGUCCAUUUAUUGAUGGUCGAAGGACAGGGAUUGAAGCAGCGGAGAAGCGCAAUGCUUUCUUUGUCAAUUCUAUUGAGCUAAGUCUAGGAAAGUAGAAUCUAUGCUCUACUCUAUGUUUCCCCUUUGAAAAGUGGUUCUUGCGGCCCGGAGGCUCCACAUCAUCUUAGAAGUUCUUUAAGAAAGACCUAGCUGGGAAUCCGAGGAAGAACUAAUUGGUUGGAGCGCACUUCACACACACUAGAGUUUGACUCGUAGCGAUUAGGGGUUGAACCAUCGAUCCUAAAAGGUCAGUUGUUAGGUUGCUGGAGGGAUGCAAUAUAGUAUAGUAAUAAAGAGCGAAAUAAAAGGAGCGAAAGCUUAAGAGGGGAGGAGGGAUGUAAUUCACAGCUAUAACUAAAGAGGACUAUCAUAAAUAAGUUCUGAAGGAUGUAAUUAAGCUAUACUGAAAGUAAGGGGGCAAAGACUGAUGAGCAUAUUGACCUAUUGAUUGUUGGAGUGGAGAAAGUUAUGUCCCAGUUUCUGAGGUGGGCGCAUAAUCUAAUAUGAUGGAAGCGAAUACACUCGUACGGCUCUAUCUUGACAAAAGGUGUUUGGACUGUUUUCGGGCCCAGACUCCGGAGCCAUUCUAGUUCCUGAAUAAUGAGGAUAUCCGUAUCAGAGGCGCGUAAGGUUUCUUUUGGUGCUGUAGCUCCUAGUAGAUACGAGUUGGGGCAAGAAGAGAAGAGAGCCGAAUUCAGCAAGUCAGAAAUGAAUAGUAAUAGCAGAGGGUAUAAGAAUACAUCCACUUUACCGCAACUCAGCUACUCCUAUAGUAUAGUAUAGUUCCUAUAGUCAUGAGUUUUGUUACCACUCUUUGCCUUUGUAGUAUACGCUUGGUUAUUUAGUUUGCUGGGAAAUCAUUCAUUUCUCACUCUUGGCCUGAGUCUUGAUCCGAGGACCGAGGAAAACGGAAUUGAUUAUCGAUGUGCCAUAUUCAAGUAGGAAUUGGGCGGAGCAGGAAAAGGUUUGAGUCAUGAAGAUCUGAUCAGGGAAGAGAAGAUUGCACCAACCCAACCGUUGCUGAAUCCCUUAAGCCCCCUUACGCGUAGAAUGAGAUGGAACUGCUUCCACUCUUAACAACACUGCUACGUCGGCCUUAACUGCGGAUUCUCAAACUCCAGAUUCUCGCCCCGAUUCCGCUCCAUCUUCUGCCGAUGAUCUAGCUUCUUUACCAGAUCCAGUGAAUUCUCUCGUUGCACCAGAUCUAUCUUAUAAUCCUUAUCAUCUUACUGCUGGCACAAACUCACUAACGCUUGUCGGGCCCAACACAGAGACGAACAAGUCCCUCCUUUUUAGGCUUCAAUUCAUUUCCAUUUAUACAGUGGCAAGGGAUCUUCAAUGAGUGAGUCUUAAGGGGUGCGUGCCUAGCUUUUCCAUUCCUAAAGCUACUCUCGGCUCAAGCUUAAUCAAUAGUGGCAACAAGUAAGUUUCGGGGUGUGUUAGCCGUUGCGCAAGAAACCAGUCCAGUAGUUCGCAAAUCUGAUAAGUAUGACUUCCACCCACAGGCCUGUCUAUUGUAUAGAAAAGAAAUCUUAUUGGUAAUUGGAGAAUCAGAGCAUAGGUGAAGGUUCAGUCUCUAGUAAGUAGCGCUAGGCAAGAGCAGGGUACUCGAGUUUAGGGCGAGGUUGCCAAGCCAAUAAAGAGAAGAUGAUUUUCAACGAGUGUUAGGUGAUUUGGAGCAAGCAAGCUUCUGAUUCUUGUUUCGUGGUGCCCAAUAUUCUCACUUUAGAGAAGCAAGGGCUAUUAGUGGUUAUCUUUGAGUAUAGAGUCAUUUCCUUUCUUCUACUUACUGGCUUUGAAGCAGUGCGCAAGUCGGCAACAAGUGGUUCUGUUCUGUUCCACUAUUCUCUUAUGUUCUGUUCAACACUAUUGUCUUAUCAAAAGUCAAGAAAAAGAUAGAAACUGCCCACUAGGCUCCCGACAAAUAAGCUGUAUCGAGUAAGUAAGCAGCAAACGGAAAAGCAAAAGUAGACAGAUCAGAAGAAGGUAAAUCCGGGGGUAUUAAAGCCAACUGCUCUCAAUCUUGGUUUCCAGCCCCUUAUAGUAGUGGUGGAGAUAUCUGUUAUUCUUUUCUUGGCUCUCCGUCUGUAUAGGAGUGAGCGGUAUCAAGGGCUAAAGUCAGCAGCAAGCGGGUCGGAUUCCUUUCCAUUCUUAGAUUUUUCAGUGCGAGUGUUGUCGACGAAAUAAGGAUCAUCAGCAGCAGACUGGACAGUUUCCGUUAAGUAUCUUACUCCGAGAGAAGCAGAAGUUCAGGGAAAGUAUCCAGUAUCAAUCAAGUCGAGUUCUAGAAUAAGCUGGAUCCGGGUAUUAUAUGGAAAUAGUCAUUAUUUGGGAAGAGGUGUGGGUUUCUUCUUUUCUCCGUGGGCAUUAUCUGAGGCUUCUUCUCUGUCUUUAUAUUCUUAACUCACUUACUCCCUUGCUGGUUCCGUUGAUUGUUGAAUGGAAUUGAGAUAAGUCACACAUGGUAUAGAGCCAAGUAAAGAGGAUUAGUAAACAAGCCGACUUCCCUUACCUUAGGUAUUCCAAAUAUUAGAUACUAUAUAUGGCUUCCUUGCCUUGACUUUAUUCUUCCUCGACUUCAACUUAUAGGCUCUUUGAACUCCCACUACUCUACCUUAAUUAUGACUUGCGGAAUUCAUAACUCUUGAUUGCUCCUCCACCUCUAUCUGUUCUGUUACUAAGAUAUAGUCAAUAACUCCGGAUAGUAAUGAAUUCUUUGGUUUUCGAGUCUAGUCAAGAAGGAGCCAAUGGGGUAGAUCAGAUCCCGCCUACUUAUUAGAAUCCUUUCCAGUGCUUUCUUCGUCAGCGAGUCGUGGAGGAAUCAAUUGCAGGGGAGAUAUCAGUUCAUCCGCUCAAAAGGAGUUGCUAAGGUUAGCUUGCCUUAACGCAAAUAGUUUGAUGCGAGGUAUCUGAUAGCUUCCGUAACGAACCAUAGCCUCUUUUCUUCAAUUCAAUUAGUUUAUCAUCUGUGUUUCUCAAUUCUUAAAGGAAGGAGUGCUAGGGAAGGAAAUCAAGCCUUAAUAAGUAAGGGCGAGUUGAGUCUACAGGUGUUGAGUCUACAGGUGAGGAAGAAAGAGCUUUGUUUAAUUUCAUGGAAUUUGUUUACUACGGUAUCGGAGCAAUAGAAGGAUCCGAGCGGGCACUAAAAGACUCAGUGUGUUAGUUAGCCUUAUGAGCAAGUCCUGUGUUCGGGCGCAAUAAGGUAAUCGAUUGGGGAAUCAAUAUGGGUCUUGUCCUGGCAUCUGUUUAUUCACCAUCUGUUAAUGAAUUACUUCCCCAGCAAGAUCUUCCUUCCAUUCCCUUGAAUAUGUUGACUUGAGAGUUCCCCCUUUCUAUUUAAAGCUGUUCAUUACUUGCUUGGAAUGCAGCAUAGGCGCUUCGGUCUCAAUUAGUGCGGUUGAUUCCUUUAGAAAGCCACCGGCCUUGUCAGCUCAUCAGUAAGGGUCGAGCAGUCUUCUCUGAUGGUAAUGCGAAUCUCGAAUCUCUUUAGCUAGUCAAUCUCUUGCAAGUGGUCUAUGGCAAAGGCUCAUCUGUCCAAUCGGAAUCGGUCCACGAAUGAGUUCUUUCUAAGAGUCAGUGCUUAUUCUCUGCACUUUUAGACGGAAGCUUUAUACAUGUUACUUCGACGGCAAUCCCAUGUCCUCAGGCAAGGUAUAUUGGUUAGCUAUCCUAUGGAAUUGAAGCUUUUUCUUCGCCGGGUAUGAACGAGAUGGAAGAACCGAUGUAAGAUAGACAGACCGGAUUCCUGUGUCCCCUACGAGCGAAGGAAAAGAAAUGCUUUUCUUCAAGCAGGAAGAAACUCAACUGCUGGGUAAGGCUAGCGGGUAAUAGUAUAGGACUUUCAAGCAAGGGUAGCAAGUCAAGUGUGUUUUCGUAUCGGCAUUAGACUGCUAUGCUCACGAAUUGGAUGAGAACCAAUGACUCUAUUGUAUGAAAGCGAGACUCUAACCGCUCAGAGAAAAUAGACCCCAGAAGAGAAAGCCGGGAAACCAGAGUGACCCUUACGAGAGGGGCGGAGCGCUAAGAGCGUGAUAACUAUACGAAAUGAAGCAGCGGCUAGCACGCUAAGAUAAACCACUUGGUUGGGGAGAACGUGAAGCCUUUCUUUCUCGGUAAUUUAAGUGGAUUCCUUUUCAUGCGGUCGUUCUCUGCUGCAUUGGUGUUUUCACUCCCCACUCUAUACCAUAACGAAAAGUGUCCUCUCAGGAGUUGUAAAAGGAAGUACUCAGGAGUAGGAAAUCACUAAGAAGUAGGGCACAAUGGAUCAAUUCAUUCAACAAGAUCCCUUCGGACCAGGAUGAAUGGGAUUGAUAUUACCUCUCGCUUCGAUCUAAGACUCCCACCGCCGGACAUCUGUCAGAAGAUUCAACUGAGUUAUGCAUUUCUCUAGGAAGGUAAGUUGGGUGAGUUGGCGAAGGAGGGGCUUUAGGAAAGGAGUUGCAUUCAGCAGGAACCGGGAAAGUAGCCAUACCUUUAUUUGUAGCAUAGAUAGCUGUGGGAGACCAAACGAAUCUGUCAAGCGUAAAGUCAAACUAAAGCAGAUGAAGCAUCGGGUAUAGUAAAUCUGAUAAAAGAGCACAGCAGCUAAACCAUGUAUGUGCGCGUGAUUGCUCGUUCGCUUGCAAAUACUUAUCCUCUCGCCCAGGCCCUGGCUCUUUCCAGAAAAGGCCUAAACUCUAUUUGCCUAAGCAUCUUUAACGCCAUGGAGCUUGCCGGUUAUAAUCAAUGAAAGCUAGAUUACCAUAUUCCCGGUGAUAAUCAAUGAAAGCUAGAUUACCAUAUUCUUAUGCUAUGGCUUGGCUUAGCAGGAGGUCAGCUAGAUAGUCGAAUAGGACCCUUUGGAGAGCCGGCUCAUUUAGGCCUUUCUUCCUUUCCAAUUGACAUGCCCCAGAUGCAAAGCUAUAUAUUAAUACACUGACCUAGUUCGCUUAACCGCAUUGACUCACUCGAAGCAUGAGAACAAAAGACGGAUUGAAAACAACUAGUAGUAGAGUAGGAAAUAAAGAAGGAGGAGGUGAGUCCCAAGCCGGGGUAGAAAUAGGAUGAAUAGCUUUUCGACCUAUGGUGGAUUCAACCAAUUUCCUAUCCAUGCUAGCAUUCAAGUUUAGCAAAACCAAGGCAAAUAACUAUGUUAGGGGGAAUUCUCCUACUUAGGCUCAAAGUAGUCUACAUCGCUAGGACCAAGCAAAUCCUUGAAUCAAAAUCCAGACAUGCUCAGGAUGAACGGGAAAGGAAGGGCGUAAGACCUGCCGAGGGAUCUAAAUAGGGAGAUAAGCACGAGUUGUGGUUCGCCAAAAGCUAUGUAAGGCUGCAGAUUGUUUCUCUUCUGCAUUGCCCUUUUAUAGAGAAGAGACCUAGGAGCGAGUUUACGAGCCGGCUUUCUGUCUCUUCAAGCCAAUUCCCUUAUAUCAGAAAUGGUCAUAUUCCCCUUAUAUAGGUAAUAUUCCCCUUAUAUCGGAAAUGGUCAUAUAAUAAAUGGAACUUGUCUAGCCCUCAGGCUGCCGCGCAACAAACUACUAAGCUUGGCCCCGCUUCAUCUCCAACUAACAUGGAUUUCCGUCGAACAGGAGGAAAACAAGUCAUUUAACUUGCUUGCUCUGCGCGCGCACCAACCAGUACUUGAUUCCUCCCCAAACCCCUCACUUUCGAUUCUGAUCCUUAAGAAAACAAACCUCCACGAUACCUUGCUUCAAAGCCAGUAAGAGAAAGAUGGUCUGCCCUGAACGCUGCUUCUGCUUUAGAUCUUUAUUCCUUACCUGCGCUAAGAUCUUCUCCCCUCAAUGAAAUUCUGAACUUCUAGUAUAGGCAGUAUCUAUUUUCAUAGGUCAUUUAGUAACUAUAAGGAAAUAGUAUUCAUUCAAUAGAGAGUAUAACUCACAAAAGUCGUAUAAGUUCGAGCAGUAGGAUAAAGACCUGAAAGCAAGGUUGAAAUCAUCAGUGAAUUCUUUUCCUGCAAGAAGAUCCUCUAGACUCACUUAUGCCCUAGAAAGAUCUAUAUUUGGAGAAUCUAGUCCUGUUAUCGGUUCAGAACAGAAUAUCUUAUUGGCUAGGAAGCUCCCUUUUAAGUAAGCGAGGCAUUCCAUAAUAUAGUAAUAAAUAAGAAAAGUAUAAGUCAGCGAGUAGGGUCGCCCAUAUAGAAUUAAUCAGCAGCAGUAAGAGCAGGUGCAAUCGGGUGAGAGUCGAGUGAGGGCGCUAAGAUGGUUUACCGGCGAAAUCCAAGAGUCAGGGUUGGUUUCAAGCAAGUAGUUAUUCAUUGAAAGAAGAGGUUGUCAAAGUAUUGGAAUAAGAAUAGAAAACCAUAACAUAUGAGUUCAUUGCCAAGAAAAGAGAAUUCUAAGGAUCAGAGAAAGAAUAUGAAUAAAAGUCAGUGGUGAAAAGCGGUGAAGAAUAGGAUUGAGCCCCAAGUAAGUGGUGAAAAGCCUAGUAGUUACUUGUCUGGUUGCUCCUUCCUUUAAGUAAUAAGAAUUGAAGAAUAGAAGAUACUGUACCAGGGGAGUAGUAGUACCCUAAUAUGAAUUCUGUAAUUCCAUUCUUUAAGUAGUCUCAACUCAAUUAAGAAAUGGAAUGUUGGAACUGGUACUACUAUACUAAGAAUAGAAAAAACUGGGUCAGAAUUGAACAAGGAAAGAAAGGGUCAAAUGGAGUUAGUGUAUUUGUAGAGGCUUUCAGCACCUAGUUAUCCUUCCUUGAAUAAUUGAAGUUUACCUGCCCACUGAGACUAUCUACGAAAAAGCAAGGUAUCUGAAGGCACCCGAGGCGACUGUGCGUAAAAGUACUAGUGAAAAAGAAAACGGGCUCCCGCUAGUGUUUCGAAGAAUGAAACAAGUCAUAAUGAAGCCGGAUAUAUGGUAUUGAAUGAAACUCCUUAACAAAGGUGCCUGUAUUGAUUAUGGAUUUUCACUCCUUUAGGUUCAGCUACCUCUGAUUCUCUAUACUCGGCUUGCUCUUGGACAGGACAGGUGAGACUUUCCAGUUUCAAGUAGAUGUAUUCGGCAGUUAGCGAGUCUAGCCCCAACUACCUGGUCACAGCUAAGGAACUGGGCUCCUUAAGAUAGAAGACAGGACUCUACUCGAUAAGAACGUAACAAUAACAUGGAUUAUUUGUUAUUGCUGCUGUUUUUGUCGUCGUUGCUUGUCGAGUUUGGUUCUAUAUGUGCUAUGAGCCGUUCUCUUCUUGUUAUAUUACUGUUACUGUUGUUCUCUUAUUGUUAUUACUACUAUUCUAUAUGCCUAUAAGAGACCAUACCAUACUUAUACUUAUUGGUUUGAUUCACUGAGUUGUAUGUUAGUUCCUCAGAGGUGGGGUAGCAGUCAAGUCUAUUAAUAAGUGAAGUAAGACUGACCAGUUAGAGGGAUAUGCCUAAGCGGGUCAAGUUCCAUUCUUUCAUUGGUAGUUUGAUUCCAAUAAGUCAUAGACGGUUUCUCUAUUCCUAGUCGAGUUCUUCACUCGGAGCUGCCCUGUCACUGCUUGGUUAAAGUAUCCCGCUACUGCCUUAAGCCUUCAAUGCCAUAUCUCAAUUCCGUAGUUCACCUAUUCUUCUUCCACUUAUAAGUUGUAUGCCCUAAGUUCUCAUUGUUACUAGUCCAUGCCCUAAGUUCUCAUUGUUACUAGUCCAUUCCUCUACUACUUUCUUCGCUAAUCUAUUCUUUGAUUUACGUUACCGAUCGAGUUAUGAAAAUCAAUCGCUUGUAUCAAUAUAACAUAGGUGGUAUCAAUAACAGAGCAGAAGAGAGUUUCCUCCGUGCCAAGUCUAUUCUUAUAAUAUCUUAUACAGUUUCCGUAUACGCGAAAAGAAUAAUCAAUAUUAUAAUCAUCUAAAAUAACGUAGUAAGUAAUUGCACAGUGAAAUGAACAAGACAAGACUGCUUUAGAUGUAGAUGCAAGCGAUAUAGUCUAAGGUACUACCAGUAAAGUCAAACUCAAAAGGGGUAGGCUCAUUCUCAUACUGCCUUGGCUUCAUUAGAAUAAGUCGUUUUUCAGUCGUUAGACAGUGAAUGAAAUAAAGUGCCCCUGUUCCUAGCUCAAGUAUGAGAAGCACCGGUUCCACUCUGAGAUAUAGUAAAGCAAGAUGAAAAGGAAGGGCCAAGCAUAUACUACUAAAGAAGAGAGAGGGAAAUUGUUAAUCCUCAGACCAAUUCUUAUACUUAUUAGUUUGUUUAUUUCUUGAUUUUCAGUGGAGAGCGCAGGGUAGGCGAGAAAGACAAAGACAGGACUUGCUCGGGCUUAAGAGAUUCAAUGAAUUAGUGAAAACCAAGGCUAGUUCCGGAGAACCCUCGGCAGGAAGUCAAGAUGGAUUUCGCCAGUCAAGAAGGGGCCAGAAGACUUCCAAAUGCAAGCGCGUCUUCAGAUACUGAGCCUAUUGCAAUGCAGGAAUGAAUGCUAAAUGGAAUCUGAUGGCAUAGGAGAGGGCGGGGAGAGUAUCCAAGCACGCUCUUUCUGAACCCCGAGAGGAGUCACAAAACUAUCCCAAUAAAGAAAGAUGGAAUGUCACACUAUAUAUACUAAACCUCCAGCCACUGAGUAAGCGGACUCUUUCUUCCAAAAUACAGGAGGGUACUUCAACCGAGAGGAACACUGGCUCGGAAUUCGCGAGCUCACGGACUAGACGUAGGACGACAUUACUUGGAUCCUUGUCCUAGCUUGAUGCAAUGAGGCAACCAGUCAGCGGUAAAAGCCUUGCUUGCUCAUCAACUGCUUCAGCUCGGAUUGGCAUCAUUUCGUUGUUGAGCGCUCCAUCCGCAGAAGAGGUUUGGGGCGUCCCAUAUACUAUAUGAGUAUUCCUUCAAGCGAAAGCACCAAUCUAAGGAAAGGAGCAGGAAAUAGCAGUAAGGUAACAACCGGACAUGGGAAAACAGGCAUGUCAUCUCAUAAGAUCCUUUCAAUUGGCUAUCAUCCCUGACUUGCCUUUCAAUUGGCUAUCAUCCCUUACUUUAACCAAAAUAGAGCCACGAUUUCUUCCAGGAAAUCCCAAGAAAAAGAAACAAACAAACACUUUUCCUAUAUUUCUGUCAAUGCCUCAUUGGUUGCCUGCUGCUCUAAAAGUGCUAGGCUAAGCGGAAGUCACCCAUGCCAUACUCCCAGGAAAAGCUCGAUAAGAGUGAGUCUCUCUUUCCUAAGAGCUGAUGGAAACCCGAGCUCGAAGUGGUGAAUCAGCGGACUUCCUCGGACGAGGCCCCAGUUUACGUGAGCACAUUAUGAUGAUGCUUAAGAGGGCUACUUUUGGCGCUGGUUCAUAAAACGAUGAUUCCUUCUUAUUCCUUUUUGAAGCAGAAAGGUAGAUCAGGAUCAACAAGCUCUCUGUCUGUCAUAGGAAAGUACUUUUGGGCUACUGAAGCUGCUAGCUUUCCCUUUCCCAUACAAGCCCGCAAGUCCACACCGUAUAGAGCCAUCUUAUAAACCCCAACACACACGCCAAUCAGUACUGCACCCGGGUUUCCCGAACUUCUAUUUUGACUACAGGCACUACCGGGCAACCACGGCAAUAUCGGCUCCAAACCGAUUGAUUGACCAAUGCCGCCGUCUUGUCACCGCUGUUCCCGAUCUUGUAGCAGCAUCCUAGAGAGGUGGAGCUAACCUGAACUUAGGAAUAGGUGUACAUCGGGUCCUCUAAUCUCAAGCAUAAAACCACAGCCCGCCGCUCCCUAUAAGCCGUUACACUGACGCCUUGUGAUCCUCACAGUCUUUUUGUUGCGUUGCCAUAAUGAGAAAGGCUUAAUUGGUUAUUAGAUCACUCCAGGAUUAGAGGUCGAUGCCACCUAAACAGACUUCUCGAACAUCACUUAAUGAAAUAUGCUCGAGGAUUAGCUUUUUGAUUGAAACUUCCUCUUGAGUUCUUGAGUGACAUUCUUUUUAGUUCAAGUAAUAGAAAAGAAUUGAUAGUAAUCUAUACUUCUUUCUUGGCCUCGGUAAGGUUUAGGCUUUUUAAGACAGACCUCUAGAAUGGGUAGUGCCUUCCUCGUAGUUGCCAUAGGUAUGUAGAGUAGCCGAGCCUCAUUCAAUUCAAUUAGCACUUUUGUUUGUUGCCAGUUGCCCUAGUAUUAUAGAGUUUGAGUACACCACCAGUAGGAAAGGAAUAAGGUCACUAACCACCCGAGUCUAGUGCUAGUGCUCCUUCCUUUCUGAAUAGAGUAUAAGUGGAAAAGUCAGAAAUCAACUCUACAGUGGGAAAGUCAGAAGUCAUCCAUUAAUUCAGAAUUGACCUCAUACCGCCUACCAUGUGCUCUUGAUUUAAAGAAUGAAACUAGAAAGUAGGAAAGCAAGAAGUCACCACAAAAGUGAGAAUGAAACCAAGAAGUCAAAUAGGCAAGCUACUCCUAAUGGACAAGUAACUGCUUUACAAACAAUGGCUACAAAUACUUCUUUCAACAAGCAGCUGGCUCCGCCAAGCACCGUAUACAAAGGCAAAAGAAGCUUCAAUUUCCAGUGACGUUAUAGUUUAAAGAUCCUUAGUAGGAACAGGCGAGUAAGUCAAAAGGUAUCCAGUUUCAAGUAGAGUUAGGAAAUUCAUCCAUUCCUGCUUCGUUCGCUUACUGCUUACUUUGACUUAGCGCUUCAAAGCCAGUACUGUACUUUCUUCUUCCUCGAACAGUACUACCUGGAUUCAGACUAUCAUUGCGGCGUGUGACUGAUUUCUUAGGCAGAGGAGAGGUAUGCCUAAUUCAGUUAAUAGUUCCGAUGGCAAGGAAGCACGUAAGGGUGUUGCAAUACAAGAUCAGAGGGAUAGAGGUGCCGAGAUGAAGCAGUUAUCCUUUCGAAAGAUAAGAUAGGCCAAUAGUAGGGAUAUGAUAGGCCAAGCAAGCAACUCCGACGAAGGGGCAAGCGGACAUACCUGAGUGCAAUUCCAAAUUGAGUGAAUAGUUUGAGUAGCCAGCUGCAGGGCUUGUUUGAUUCUCCGUUAGUGCUGAGGAAGCUAGUCCUUCUUUUGGUGUUCGAGUUUGUGUAGUUCGGCUUGUCUGCUUUCCUGCUUGUCUGCUUGGCCGGUCGUUAUUCGUUGCUUGUUUAGUGGUGCCUCAAUUCGUUCUUCAGCCGUAAGCAAAGCAAUGUCAUCGUAUCCCCAGAAGCGUUGAUUAAGUGGAAAGUGAGCUAGCUCCACGAUAGAGUAUCAUUGUUUGCGAGUUGCCUUGCUUAUUCAUAGGAACGACAACUAAAGUCAUAGGACCGACAACUAAAGCACAGAACCUUACUCAGGAACUCACGUUAGCACUUCAGAAGAACAAAGAAGAGAAUUGAGGUGCGUAUAUAACUGUAAGCAAGUAAACUAACAGCUUUUCCUCCUUUCAAGACAAGACUCAGCUACGCUAAUGCACCAGCACCCUGGAAAGUAACAAAGACAUGUUUGCUCGAAGGGAAGAAUCACACUCACUAUAUCCGCGAACCGAGAAAAACUGGAACUAACAUAACUCCGUUAGCUAUAAGUCACUCGCGUUAGCGCAACUGCUUCCAGCUUUCAUGGUCCUCUCUUUAUGCCCUUGUUGACUUUCUUUUAUUCUUUGCCUGUUUCAAAUAAUCUACCUAGCAACUACAAUAUGGAUCUACCUAACAAAACGGAACUGCCAACUCUGCGGUAACCAAACGGAAACCAUAGUGAAUUGCUUCAAAUCAAACAAUCGUUAGCUUCAGUCUUAUAUGAUAUAGAUAAGUGUGGAAUCUCACUCCUGUGUGGAAUCCUAACUCCCGACUGCUUACUUAACUUAGCGGUAACCUCAGUCUAAACUAACUUAUUGCUUUGCUUCCUUUAGAACUAAGGCUUUCGAUCCACCCCCCCUUGCCUUGUUUGUUUGACUUGGUUAGAAACUAAGUUAGCACCCCGCUCGCUCCGUGGGUAAAUAAGCUAAUGCGCCUUGCUUGUUUCAUUUUGAUAUGAAUGCAAAGAUUCCUGACUAAUAUACUACGCCUCACUGCUUGUUGAAACCUAACUCCUUAAGCACGCACAACACUUUAAGCAAACUUGUUCCCUAGCUUGUUCAGCUAUCUACCUAUUGCUUGUUUAAUCAAAUAUGCACAUCCUAAUAUAGAAUCAAGUCACUUUACAGCCUAUUAGAUAAUGGACUCUCUGAAGAAUAAGGAAUUGGAUCUAGCUAUCCACAAUCAUAUGAUUUUAUGAAAGUGGAGAGUUUAGAGAAGAGAUAUGAGUAUAAUCAACAGACGCAUCAGAACGGAAAUGGAGAAAAUGUUAGUUAUGACUUGACUCAGGACGUAUAGGAAGCAAUAAUGGAUUAACAGAACCCCGUACUAUUCUCUUUCAAUGGCAAAGCCCGUUUUUUGCUAGGGGAUAGAAGCCAAGCUUGGUGGACGAAGCCCCCAUGUAGGGAUCGAUCAUUCUGGGCAAAUAUCUGAGGGAUCGAUCAUUCUGGGCUAAUAUAUUAUAAGAGAUAUUCGGCAUUCCAUACACAAUGUAUUAAUGCCCUAGUUGGAUUGAUUUCAUGAUUCAAAACCUGGGCUUCUUUCUUUUUCGUAUACCGAUAGUAAUCUUUUUCCGAAGCCCUAUAUUACCCCCUAGAUUAUUAAUGUCAAGCGAUUAUUAAUGUCAAGCGCGAAGAGGACAGGACCUACCUCAUUCUAAAGUUCACCAUUAUAAGAGGACAGGACCUACCUCAUUCUAAAGUUCACCAUUAUAUAUAUGUCAUUGAUCUUCUCUUUAGUUAAUCUGGAAGAAGGGCUCAUUCAUGUACAAUCCAGAGCGAGAAGGCAAGAAUAACAUCUCUUUUUUCACAUGGUAUUUCUAGGAAUAAGUAACUUCCACGAUCUUUGAGGAAAGGGUUGUAAUCUCUUCUUUAGAGUUGAAGCGAAUGAGUUUAAUGAUGAGGAAGAAUCUGUCUUCACGCAAAAAGCCUAUACUGUAGGUCGAGAGUGUUUUCCCUACCUCUCCCAUAGGUCGACUCCCGUUAGCACCCCAAGAAAUAAGCUCAAAGCGGUAGUGCGCCGAGCAAAGGCCAUUUUCAUAGUUCAUAUUUCUCCCUUUGGUUUUCCAAAGAGUCUUGCCUAAAGCAGGCCAUUCUCCUCGUUUCCGAGAGAUAGGAAGUACUAGCUUACAUGGACCCUCAAGUUCUCUUUCACUACUUUAGCUCAACAAUCGAAUAAGCACUAACGAGAACUCUAUAUGCUCAUACCAAGGCGCCGUGGUCUUUCUAAUGUCAAGAAUCAAUCAAAUCACAGAUCAUGAGAACUCUUUUUUCCACACAACGACUAAUCCUGAAAGACGACUCUUUCGUUUAAGGAGAAUUCCAAAAUACAGAAAUUGGAUUCGGAGAAAAUGAGGAUACCUGAAACACAAGGCCCGAUGGAAUUGAGCUUCUGCUGUCCCUACUAGUUCCGAUUGCUUUCUUGACUUCUGGAGAAGCAGCUCCUGUACUAAUCAAUUCUUCGGCGGUAAGGAAUAAAAUGCAAUAGAAUGCUUUUCUCAUAGAUAUUUGGACUCCUCUACUACUAUCAACCUUUCUUUCUCUAUAUACUUAUAGAUAGAUCUCUAUAUACUUAUAGAUAGACACAUGCAAUUAAGCUUAUAGAUAGACACAUGCAAUUAAGUUCUGCAAGAAUCAAGUCAUUGUGGAAUAAGACCAGUCUGAACUGUAUUUCUAUUUUGAUAUGAGAAAUUGUAUAGGUGAGUUGUACCUUUCGAAGCCCUAGGAGGUUCAUUGGAUCUAGUUUCCCGGUUUUCUUUGUUCUUCCUUUCUUUGUUUUGCAUGCGGCGUAGUUAAGGGUAGAAAAGAAAAGAUGUUGUUCAAGCAGGGUUCAGGAGAGAAUAACCAGUGAGAAAGUAAUCUACGAGAGGAGAGAGGUCAAUAGUGGAACAGAGCUUAAAGGACUUUCAAGCAAAAGUAGGUUCAAUAACAAUUGCUUAAAGUCAAUCUUUAGUGGGUUCAAUAACAAUUGCUUAAAGUCAAUCUUUCCCAGGGCGCGUAGCGUAGUAAGGCUUUAUUAAAGAUUUGCUUUUCGAUGGUUAUCCCCAUCCUCCCUAUCUUGUGCAGCUUAUCCAUUUCGGCUUUCAGAGUAUAAUAUUUGAUGUGUCAGGGCUAUAAUGGAGUUUCUAAUGGUCCCUAUUGCUAUUGGUAAAGGCUAGUAUCUAAUAAUGUGGAUAAGGGCUCAUUCAUGUAAAAUCCAUAGAUAGUGGGAAGGAAAGAAGAAGCUUGAUUACAAUCCAUAGCUGGAAGGAAAGAAUCCAGUGUUUUUUAGUCCCUAUUGCUAACAACGUAUAUCGGGAUCCCGGUGCCUAAAUGAUCUUCCUUAGAGUCCAAAGUCCGGUCCCUAUUGCUAACAACGUAUAUUGGUCUUUACUCUUCUUUCUAUUCAAAGAACUCAAUAAGAAUGUUAGUUUCUUCAGUUGUGCUAACGGAGCUCAUUAAGGCUUGCUUACCGGAGCUGCCAGAUACUCUACUUGUUGACUUUUUGCAGUUAAAGUGCAGAGGGAUUCUGGCCCUGUCCCUGUGCCUAGGUACGAUAGACUAAAAAGCAAUAGGCAACUUAUUUGAAUCAUAUGUAUUUCGCCCGACGCCGAUAUAUUCCAUUCAGAUAGUUUUUAGUGCUGUGUUUUUACGUUGUUUCUAUGAUAUAUGGGUAUAGCUCUCGUCCGGAUAGGCAAAUAUACGGGUAUAGCUCUGUUCCGGCUAAUAUAUGGGUAUAGCUCUGUUCUGGUCUUGACUCAAUCAUUUUCAUAGCACCUAUCUUGACUCAAUCAUUUUCAUAGCACCUAUGAGAUAAGAGAAGUCGGAUACUAACCUUAACACUGCUCGCAGAAGUGCACAUAAUAAAAUAAAUAGAAAUGCACCUAUAAGAGAAGUCGGAUACUAACCUAACACAGCUAUUAUAUUACUUAAGUAAGAGUGGAAUGGAAUUGAGCGACCACAUAGUCAGUAUAGAAUUUCUGAAAGACAAGAGCAUUGCUUCAAACCUAAUAGAGGAAUUAAUAUGGGCAUAGAACAAUAAAUAGAGGAGCGUAGCGACAUAGAACAAUAAAUAGAGGCGCGUAGCUAAAUAGAAAAUGAGUUGUUAUGUUAGGUUAGUGAGUGAUCGGUAUAGAAUGGAUUGGUAAUAUGACUAAGAUAUCUAUGCUCAUGUUGUUUGUUUCUUUUUGAUUGAGCUGUUCUGCUCCUAAAACUUAGUAAGAUUCUUUAUUCAAGCUCGUUAUUUCCUUUUCUCGAUCAUCAUCCCCUUCUAUAAAGGAAUAGGUCGAUAUUAGAAGCUAUAAUAACUCGGUCCAAUCUACUUAGUAGUCCUUCUAUUCCAGUGGCUCCUCUCCUCAAAGUGAAAUCUCUUUUUGCUUGCUUUUUCAUAGCUAUGUUUCGUACCUUUGUGAUUCUACUUUCCUUCUUCUGGAAAUGACGAAUGUAAGGAUGGCCUAUAUAUGGCUAGCAGCAAUUUCCCUACUUACUCAUCAAACCCGCCUAUCGGCUAAGCCGCCUUUCCCAACUCAAAUGGGUUCUGCCUUUCCCUACAAUCUCUUUUGUUGGCCUAUCCGCCGGCCGGAUGUUCGGACAGAUGAUAAAGAUUCCCUGCCUCCCACUUACGCAAUUGGUCUGUUUAGCAUUCCCUAUUCAUCUAGGUGACUUUUAGAAGUCCGUAAAGAGAUAAGUCUGUAAAGAAUCUAUGUUCAAGUGUUAUUACCGAGUGCAAGCAUCUUUCUGGGAAGGGUUCGCUUACGGGAAAUCUAGAAAAGGAGUGAGAGUUACCUUUCCAUUCACCUCACUUAACCGACCAUGUAAAGGCCCUUGAUAAGGCUUCUUUAACGUCGUUUAACAUGGGUUACACUCAGAACAGAAGCUUCCACCCAUUUCGACUCGCCAAGCAACCACUAGUUAUCGGUACUAGAUCAUACCAGUACUAAUACCAUUCAUAUACUUACCAAUACAGAUACAAAUCUCCUGAAUCCGCUAAGCUUGAUCUGAGGCACAAGAAGUCGCUGGCUAAGAAUCUUAAGCUACUGGCUUUGAUGCGGGAAUAUCCGUUUUCUCAUCAGCGGGAAGUAUUGUCACUCACUACUAUAUGUCUUAUUGGAAUGUUUUCUUUCGAUCCAUCUUAUAGAAGCUUAUAUAAUAAUACUGAAAAGCCCUUCUUCUUCUCCCUUGGCAACUAUCCACCUGUCACUGCUACCCCGCUUCUUCUCUUGAAACUCAAUCACCUUUACCCCCGGCUCCCUCUAAUGCUUCAUUUACUUACUUUGAAUCCAGAGUUCACCUUUCUUUUAUGCCAGGACCACUACUAGUUUCAGAGCGGCCGAAAGCAUCUACGAAGACGAGCAAUAAUCUAGUAGGGGAGCGCAUCAACAAGAGAAGAUAACUCCGUUAGCACAACUGACUACUAAGCUUGGUGGUUUCAAACCUUAACCUUGCCUUGAUACUUGCCUUCGAGCGCAACAGGUUUUGGGCGAGUGUGAAGUAAGUUAAGUAAAUAAAUAAUGGAAAUGAAGUGCACGACAACGAAACUCAUAUAAGGAAGUAACCUAACAAAGAAAACCGUUUGUUCUUGCGCACCACGAACCCUUUCCUUUCCUUUAAUAAGCCUAAGCCAGCCUCAUUAUUUAGUCAAAGUGAAAAGAUAGCUUUUCUUUCCGUAAGCCAACACCGCGGACUCAUCCAUAUCAGGACUAAGAUCCAUAUACUGCUCCAGCGGGAUAAGAAGCAAGUCCUGUUUAGUUACUACGCAGGGAUGGGAUAGUGAGUUUUGAAGUGAAUAAGUAUAGGUUCGGUGUCUAGGUUCUUGGCGCUUUACCUUAGUGGACGACUUCAUAUUUAAGUGAAGAUCAAUCAUCUCUAAGCGAAGGAAGGCGUUCAAGCCCUCUUUUGAGUCGUUUAACCUAUGUUACACUAUGCUAAUAGCAAAUCCUACAUUAAGAUACUCUAUCAGCAGUUUGAAAUGCUUUUUUGCCAAAUAAGAUAGACUGAUUAACUCCCUAUGAAUUUUACUUGAAAGUUGAAGCCGAGAGCCGAGAAGAGGCAUCAGAGGGUUGUCGACAACAGACAGAAGAAGCCAGAUCAGGAUCGGAGGCUGGGUCAUCAACAAACUAGGAUGAAACUUGGGAUUCCACUAGGGAAGAAACUACUGCACCAAACGAAACUUCCCUGUCCACUCUAGUAUACGCUUGCCUGGUGCCUGGUGAACUGAUUGUAUGCCGCUGCUUGGCGAGUUUCAUCCCAAACCUGUAUACGAGUAGGCCAGUAGUAAGCCCACCGAUUCCCCAAGGAAGUUACUAGGCCUGCAUCUAGGGCAACUCAGUAGUAACAGAAUGCAACUAGCGACUCUAAACAAAGUCAGAUAUAAUAAUAAGAUAUAAUAUAAUAAGAGAGCCUCAUUCAGUUAGUAAAAGGGGCGGGUAUCUCGGUCGAAAGGAAUCAAAUAUGGAGUUUUCAAUGAGCCAAGCUACGUAUAAUCCUAGAGCUCCUAGAGCAUAUUAAGUAACUCCACUCACUACUACUAAGAUAAUAAGUGCAACCACUCACAAACUAAUAAGAAUUAGACCACCACUAAUAAGAUUGGAGCUGUUAGGGGGAAUACCGGAGUCUGCCCUGAACCCAGCUUCCUCACCCGAUCCAGCGGAUUAUCUUGAAACUGAAGAAUUCCACCAUUGAGUCAAAGAAUGAAAGUGAGCCUCUCCUCUUGGAGGUCAGGAAGUAGAGAAUAGCUGCCAGUUGACAAAGGUAAGUAGAUAAGUCUCAUUCAGUGAGCAGUGCGGGUGCUAGGGCAGGUGGAGUUGACCGGGCAGUCAGAAGUGUACGAGUGGAAUCCGUCUUUGGUUAAGGUUCAGAAGAUCGGAUUGCAGCUGGCUCUGUAGUAGCGGCGGAGAACUUUCUUGCCUAGUUGCUAAGGGGUUAAGCUAUAUACUGAGUUGCCAUAUAAGCAUAAUGGCUUGUUUCAUUCUUUGCUCCGUACUCAACAAAAGCGUACCUCACUUCAUGGAAUUAGUUGACUACGGCUAUGAAGGUAUCAAACAUGAGAACAAGAGCAGUUCCAGUAGUAAGAAAAGAUUCCAGAGCUGUUUACGUUCUCAUUAGUUCAAUUCCAAUACGCCGGGUAGGUUUAGAGAGAGAGAGCACCACUACACUAAGUUGGCAAGAGAGGGGAGGUCGGCAAGCAACUCUUACUUUCAAACUUCCACCCUUCUACUAAUUUUACUACUAGUUAGGUCAAGAAGAAGAAUAUAGUAGAGUAACCAAGCUUAGGCAGAGCAAUAGAAUCCGCAGUAAGAGAAUCCACAUCCGCAGUGCUGGGAAAUGUUGUUUAUGUUUUCUUGCACUAGGGAUAGAAUUAAUAAGAUAUAAUAUAAUAAGAUAUUAGCUUCAAAAUCACUAGAACAGCCAAUAGUUACCUUCAUUUAAUAUUGUAUAUUAUAGCGACCAUACACCUACUCGUUCUUUUAGUUGCACCAUUCAUUUCUUUGUGAGCGGAAAGGUAUGCUCCGUCUUCGGUCGGCAUCCCGCACUCUUAACUUGUCUCCCGGGAAGCCAGUGUUUUUGUAGCACCGUUCAUUCUUUGUGAGCGGAAAGGCAUGCUCAGUCUUCGUUCGCUGGUGCACCUACUCAUUCUGUGCUAUGGCCCAAGCACUCUGUCUUCGGGCAAUGUCGUUCAUGCAUCAAAGGGUGAUUGUCUAUGGGGUAAUAUCACCUACUCUGUGAGCAAUCAUCGGACCAAUCAUUCAAUUCAGUGAGCGGACCUCCUCGUAGAAUAAGAUAUAUCAUUCAUUCUUUUAUCGGUGGUCAGUCUUUUCUUUGUUCGUUCGUUCCAGGACUCAUUAUUCAAAUAAGAUAACGCAUUCUAUGAGCUAGCAUUCACUCGUUCAUUGUUCGGUAUCUAAUAUUCCAACAAACAAGGAGCAUAAUCAUAAUAAUCAUCGGCAGGAGUUAGGAGAGGCGAUAGGCUAGAGAGUUCGGGCACUACGUUCAACAAGUAUUGUCGAUUCUGAAAGUGGAGUUUCUAGUUUCAUCUUUGUUUGUUGGUGAUGAGUCUACUUCUGUGCUAGUGUCAUUGUAAACAAGACCUGUUGCUGUAUCAGUAGUUGGAGCAGGGGUCAGAAGCAAUAGAGGAAGCCGUUUCUUCCCUUCAAUACGAGGGCAGUUAAGUAAGUAGAGUAGUUUCAUCGGCUUUAGUUCCUUAACCACUGCAUCGGAUCUUUAUCUACUAUACCUUAGCCUCUAUCCCUUUUUUCUCACAGCCUCUAUCCCUUGACUUUAAGUAAAGUCUACCUUUCCUUUAUCCAAGCUUGGCUCUGCCUCCCCUUUACCUUAUUCUUAUUUUCCUUACCACAAUAGGGCUUAGGCUCCUGCCUUAACUGCUAGUUUCAAACUACCGCCCGGACAUACAAAUAUGAAUUCCCUUUCUCAGGACUAAGCUCCCCACUCCCAAUCUAAGACUUUGGACUUCCAUGCUUUAGUUCGCCCUUGCAUUCCUAUGUGCGAGUAACAUAAGUGAAAGAAUGCCAACUAAGAAGUAGGGAAUGAAACCAAUACUACUACUAAUAGUGGAAAUAGCAACUCGGAAUUAGACAAUCGGGGCCAACCCUAUUAAUGAAACUUCAACUACUAGGGAUCGAACUACGAAUAAGGAAUCCCACAAAUGCUUAGCAAACUCAAACAGGGGCAUGGGAAUCCACUAUUGGAAUGAAACUGCUGCUAACAAGGCUAACUACCUCACACCUGACUCUCCUUGGGUUAAGUCUCCCAUUUCUUCAUAUCAUUCUCUAAUUCCAGGAACGCCCCUCUCUCUGCUAGCUCCCGGGCUUACUACCUAUUCCUGGAGCCUCCCUUUCCUGUCUAUUAGCUUUAUUACUCUAUUCCAUACUACGCUAUAGGGGAUUAAACAGUGUCUAUAGGACUUAUGCCCUAACACUAAGACUUAUUUUACUGAACUGGGACCUUGCCUUACCGUCUAUUAGCCUUGCCUUACUUACAUCAUUCUUACAGUGCUUACUCUAUUAGCCUUGCCCCUUACUUACAUCAUUCUUACAGUCUUUGCUUUCGUUCCAACACCGCUUACUUGAUUUCUGGAACUAUGUAUGGGAUGAGAUUUGGAUCCUCGCUUCUUAAGAUGUAGUCUCCUAUUCCGGGCUAUCAAAUUGUAUCUCAGCUUUCAACCUACUACCACUAGGUUCAAUCCUGAUCGACAACCCGGGCUAACAAGAAAGAAUCCACGACGAAACUAAGGAACGGAACUACUAUACUACAAAUAAGAAGGAAAAACGAAUAAACAGGAACAGAACUACUAUACUCCAAAUAAUACUUAACUUUUGGGGAGCGUCUCAAACUAGUGCUAACAGGAAUUGAGCUGCUGGCAACCAAGCUAUAACACUGUAUUCACUAGACGAGAACUCAAAACUUGGGAUCUAACUACAGGUACCGAGACCUUCACUAUACUGCUUCUCAGAAUGCACUACUGCCACAUUAGAUUAGACCUGCCCACUGCUUGUAUUAGAAGUCAACUACUACACCCAUCAUAUGGAUAUUAGAAAAAAUGAAUUGCCUAUCCUAUGAAAAGAUCAGCCUCGCCUGUAGUAAUAAGAGUCUGAUCGGUACUAGUAAAAGCUUAAAGGCGAAUAAGCAAGCAUUAGAUUCAGUAGUUCACUGAGUUAACCUCGUGAUAGGUAUUGAAGGAACAAAUAUGAGAAUGAGAUCUAGUAGUGGAAGAGUGUAAGUUAGUUUGUAAGAAUGCGCUCGGUGGGUUUAUUGUAGACAUCCUUUGGAUCCGCGCUAUUCCACUUUAGAGUUAGGCAAAUCCGACUUAAAGAUAGUAGUAGCAGAGUGCAAGGCAGGCUUGAGGCAUGGAGUGGUAGAGCCAAAGCAGAGAGAGAUCCGGAUCAUUAGAUAAAGAGUAGAAGAUAGGCGUGUCAGGCCCAAGUAAAGGAUGGAAGUAGGACAGGGGCCAGCUACGAAAUGAAAGCAAUCCUCAGUACAUGCCUCCCCUAUAUUAGUCUGAUAAUACUGCCUAUUGGUUUGACUUGACUUUCUUUUCUUGUUCCACCGUUCUCAUAUACUGUAUUUCAAGUAUUGAUUCAGUGUCAUUUAUAUGAGAUUCUACCGAUCCGGAGCCUUACUUUACUAACGGAAAGGCUUGAACUACAAAUACAGAAGUUGACUCACCUGCCCAAGACUGCCCGGCAAACGGUACUAUCUACCUUACUUUCUUUUACUGCUGACUUUGAUUCUGAAAUUGAUUAGUUGCUUUCUUUGCUUCUUACUCUCUUGCUUAGAUGGAGCCUUGCUUACAAGGGUAUUUCUUAUUAUUAUCAUAUAGUAGAGUAGUUCACAUCACUAGUAGCAGACCAGUGUAGUAGUAGUAGUCAGUUCCCCAGGUAGUGUGUAUUAGAUUCGUUCCCCUACUCGCCACUCCCACUCCCUUGUUUCAGUCCGACUCCUCUUGGGUUAAGUUUUACUCCUCCGCUAAUAGGAAAUGAACUGCUGGCAAACAGGGCCUGAUUCUCAUCUUUGUUCUCAACCUGACAUCACUGCUUUUCGCUCCCUAACUACUGAAUCGGAUCCCUGCUACCUUGACACUUAGCCUGGGGCUUACCCUACUACCUUACAUACCUAACUACUGGAUUUGGAUUAUUACUACCUUUGCUUCCAUUCCAUUGCUCUUGUUCUUGCUUGCCCCUGUUGGGUCUUGUUGUGGACAUCUCUUCCUUGUUCGCUUUCCACCCUUUUGUCUUGUCCCUUUCUGGAGUUUGGAUUCCUUCUUUGUUUCCUUCCCCACAUUGGGCUCUUUAGUCUUGUUUCUGCUCGUCUUCUCUCCGCGUUAUUGUUCUGCCUCUCUUGCUCCUUUCCUCUGACUGUCAACACUUACUGUACGUUGCUUCCGGCUUGUUCUCAGCUAUUCCGUUCAGCUGCCCAGACUCUCCUAGGAUCUAAAUAGAAGAUAUUGGAACCCGCUUAAGUACCUCGGGAAUUCAUAGCAUAGUGUUUCAUAGCUCAUUCAUUGAGGUACGAUUAACUGGUCUAGUUUUUUGUGUAUUUAAACGUUAUUCUAUAUUAGAUUCUCUUCCAUCUUAUUUAGGGAAUUCUACUAAGAAACACCAAGUUCUUUUACGAUUUUGAUAAGGGCAUACUAAACCAAGUGAGUGAGCCUCCGAGUUCCGAGCUAGGGUUUUAUAAGCUGUAGGAGCAGGCGAGGGAGUUCGGCUCUGCCACUGCUUUAUUGCUACCUUAGUUUAGUGCUCGAUCUUGCAUUCUGUCUUGUUCAUUUCAUGAUGAAAUUAAGUACUCUGGUCUCCUAUUAAUAAUCCUUUGAAUAUAUCUAUCUGAAUUCUGAAACUAAUAGCUCUGGGCCUUGUGUUCCUAUUGCGCUAGUCCGCCCUGGCUUACUUUACUUCUUUGGCUAAUGACCUAAAAGCUGACCUUCCUUCCUACUAGUCUACCUAUACUUUGUUUGAGUUUGGCUUUACUGCCUACGCGAGCACAGCUACUAUACUACUAUGGGAAUACCACUUAUGAGAAUCAAAGACGGGUAACAAGGAUGAAGAGCGUUAGCCAAGCAACGUAUAACUCUAAGUCGGCCACAACCCCCCUUGAUCUUAUUCUUUUAGUUGGCCCUCGCUCUUUCUUUUAUUAAUCUUCCGCUAGCUCUGUCUAUAAGGCUGCCUCUCCUUUAUUUCAAACUCAAAUCACCGCUUCUAAUACUUUAUAUUAGAUCGGACCACUGCUUCCAAGGCUGCCCUAUUGCCAAAGCACCCUUUACCGACUAUCGGGCUAUCCGUGUUUUCAAACUGUAACUACUGCCUUACGCUUUUAGUUAACCUUCUAUUGCAAUGUUUUAGUAUCAAUGGGCUAGGUUAUGAUCUAGCAUAGUAUCCGAUUUAGAUCAGGAAUACAGGAUGUGGGUGUUGAGUCUCGUAGGCAGAUUGUAGCUAGCAGCAAUAGUAGAGAUCAAUCCAAGAAGACAGAAUGGAACUAACCAGUAAAAGAAUCAGGGGUGAAAUCGAGUUUUAAAGAGAGCAGUGCCAGGCCCGGAGCUAGCUUAAGGGUUAAAGCCCGUGGGGGGCAGACCAGCAAUCGAGCUAUGCAGAACAAAAGAGAGGAAAGGUCGCCUGAGAUGUAGCAAAGUAAGCCCGAGAGGCAGGUUAGUUAGGUGUAUCGAAAGUAUUGGAAGGGUUGUAGUUGGGAGUGACAUACUCGUUACUCGGCUCGGACAGCGAUACCAAAGAGUCAGUUUCAAAGCAAAGAUAGUGAGAGUUGGAGCAAGCAAAGAAAGGCUUGGCUCCUGGGGGAGAUAGGUCCGUUUUCUAUUGCUGAUAGUAAGGCUUGGGCUACUACAGUGCAUUCUGAUUAGUCAUAGUAUAAUUAAGUGCCAGACAAAUAAGGAUCAAAACCAGCAGCUAAAGAACUCAAGUCAUCAGUUGAGGAAUAAUAUGCAGUAAGUAAGAAUGAGGUUUAAGCUAAAGAAAGCAAGUAAGUAGCGGGAGGGUUUGAUUGAAGUAAAGAGUUAAGGCGGUAGGGCUGUUGAUACUGGUCCUGUUCAUGUGCUACUGAGUCCAAUUCUAAUAGUCAAUAGUCAAGUUCUGGUAGCAGCAAGUGGAAUUCAAAGGUGAAAUACAACUUUGAAGCAGGGGCGUAAGAGUGAGAUCAGGAGAUAAAGAAUUGAGCGUGGGAAGGGAGUUCGGAGUGCCGGGGCAGUAAGUAAGGCUUGGCAUGUACCUAGAUAAGUAGAUAAGUAAGGUUCUAACUCAACCAUAAGAAUAAGAUAAAGUCAAGUAAGCCUAGAUCCCAAGCUAAAGAAUUCCAAUAAGUAGUCAGAGUUUUCAAGCGUAGAUGCUGUUUUCGAUCAAGAGGUAUUAGACUAAACCAAAUACUAAUAGGAAUGGAAGGGAGAAAACUGUACUAGCUCAUAGCUCAUUAAUAUAUAUGGAAUUAGUUACUUACUCUCUAUGCCUUCGGGUGCUGAAAGCCUUAAAGACGGGUGAGGUAGUCUUAGAUAAAGUCAGAAAAGCAAGGCUAUUUGCCAGUAGCCCUUUUCUUGUUAGUAGCGGUAUCAGAACGGAGAAGCGAGAAGGAAAGCAAGGCCCUAACUCGAACUACGGAACGAUAUAAAGUAGUUUCGGACUAAAGAGAAGCUAGGCAUUUGUGUUGAAGGCGGGAGUGCCGGAGUGAGCCCAGUAAGUAAAAGAGUCAAAGUCAGUAACUAAGGAAUGAGUUCCGAGCCGAGGUCUCAUAAGUAGGGUUUCGUUUCGUACUGAUAGCCGGGAAAAGGGCGGGCCCAUAGGUGAAAUACAGAAUUGAGUCGCUAAGUCAAAGAAUCCAAAUAAGUAGUUCGACCCGGUAGAUAGUAAAUAAAGUAUGAGUUCCGAGUUCUCUUCUUAUAGUUACUUGGCUGAGUGUCUUGUAGUUACUUGCCUAGUGCCUUGGCGGUCGAACAAAGGACUUGUAGGCCUGAAGCUAACUGCCGCACAACUAAGACUCCCCACGGGUAGGAGAGUCGUUCGAAUAGCUUUCAAACUCACAUAGCUUGUUGCUUCUGUAACUCCUUACGCUCUGGACUCGGGCUUGUAUUCAAGGAGCAAAGGCCUUACUCUAUUCCCCAAUCCUUUCUCCCCAGUUCCGCACCUGUCUUUGGUACGAGAAGAGCUAGUCUCUCUUUUCUUUCCUAUUCUAUAAUAGAGUCGAGUAAAGUAGACUUCUUAUUUGACUCUUUACUGGCUCACUUAGCUUAGCAAGACAGACAACGAAAUUGAGACUUCACCCAAUAAUCUAAACUCACAGCAGCAUUGGCUUCCUAAAUAACUCUCUGACUUCAAUUGAUCAUAAGAUUCAGAAAUACAGGAAAGGUGAGCUUACGAAACGAAAAGCGCUGCUGACUCCUUACUUUACUCGGGGCAGGGAGACGUAAUUGGAAUCUCGGGCCCGGCAAAUAGUUAUCUUGGCUUUUUCUCUCAUGUAACUCUUUCGUCCCUCGCUUCUUCGACUUGAUAUGUGACGAGAGACUUCCACUUUAUAUGUAUAGUCACUUCUUUUAGGAGUUUCGGAUUUGAAGCAAGACUUUGUUAACCAGAUUCCAUAGCUACGGAUUCUUUCCACCCAUACUAACAAACGAACCUAAAACCGAUGCUGGAAGAAUUGGAACUAAUUGUGCCACAGUCGAGCGUUUCUGUCCUGCGUGGAGGCUUCACCUCUAUUCCGUAUUGAAAGUCUGUAUUGAAAGCUCCAGCACAACUCACUCUUAGCUUCCUUAGUAAUUAAGAUUGCUUGUUCUCUCUAUAAUAGAUCUAAGUUCUUAAUCUGAAUUGUUCUCUUUUGCAUAAAACAUAUAAGCAUAGCAUAGGAAAGUGACUUCUUCUUAUACUCCACUCUACUUAAGAAAAGAAUCCUAUUAUACCCAACUACACUGAAGAAAAGAAUAUAAGUCAAAUUGAGCCCUUGUUUGCUUGGAGAUACCUUCUACUUUAUACCUACCCUAGCGAGAGCCCUUCAAGAUGUUAACAAAUAAGAUGUUCUAGAGGAGGAUGUGCGUCAUGGAAAGUGAAAGAAUUGAUUGAAUCUCACUCGCUAAUAUAGCCUUAUUACCUUAACCCCCUUAUAUACUCAACGAGCUUCUUGAUAUGAUACAACACCUUUCUACUGGACCUCGACCAGAAACAUCAUUUCCUGCGGAAGACGAGCCCCGGUAUAUAAAGAAGUAAACACACUGCAACAUGAAACUGCCCCCGCGGAGUCUGUCUUGCCUAAAGCAUUUGUUUCUUGUUCCGAGUCAAACAGUCAAGUCAUCUUUCGAGCAUCGCAUUAACCCUAGCUGUAAAGACUGUUGAUCCGAAGUCAAUUCCUAUUAUUCUGAACUCGAUGCUCUACGCGGAAUGUCCACUUCCGACAGCGCUAAGUCUUGAGCAACAGCCAAAUAUAUUAAUUAUAUAAGAGAGAAAUACUCAAUAUGCAGAGUAGGCGUACCCUAUUCUAAUAUGAAUCAUUGGCAACAGGAUCAGAAACAGAAUCAUCAGCCUUAUAAGUAUCUUCAGCGGGAAGUAAAGGAGAAGUCGGAAAAAGGUCAUCAUCUAUUCAUUAUUAAGCGUUAAGUCAUGCCAGGCCAAAACCCAGAAGCAGUGGCGCCAGGGAGAGUUGUUGAAUGAGGGGAAGCUGUUCCAGUAUUGCAUUUGGUAAUAAGAGAGGAAGAGGUUAAGGCGAGUCAUAAUAGGUGUGAUAAUCAGAGGAAGAGGUUAAGGCGCUUGAUCUUAGACGCUUUACGUCGGUAUAGAGAGAUGAUUGGCUGAGCGAGUUACGUCUAGGUCCGGUUAUUGGCUUGACUUGAAUCCUCUCGGUUAUUGGUUUGACUUGAAUCCUAUAUAAAUCGAAAUGAAUGAUCAUCUCAACUGCGCCCUGAGUUAAGGAAAGGAAUAGUCUAAAGGAAGCAGCAAGCCCUAAGUAACGUUCGAGCACAACUUCUCUAACACGCUUCAUUAGUAUUGUUUGGCGACGAAAGAGGUUAUUGGCAGAGCGGGGAUAGUGUUAUCAACUCGAAUUGCCUGGCCUGAUUCUUAGUGCCCUACUGUAUCCUUUGACAGCUAGAGGAGGUCUAAGAACCGGGUAAGUGCAAUUCCAUUCAUAACUUCAAGUCGAGGUCGGGGUCGGGCGUUAAGCAAGAUAAGAGAGAUAUUCCGCAAUUCGAGUGCUACUUCAUUAAUACGAUUGGCUUUCCCGAGUUUAGUAGUGAGCGGUUCAGAACAUAAAGUAACGUUCGAGCAUUGUCAGCAGUGAGAUCCGUUAUUGGCUCUAACACUAAGUCCAGAGUUCUGGUUUGUGAACUUGGAGAAUUGCCUUAUUGUCCCCACCGCUCAAGAGAAAUAGAAAAAGCUUCCUUGCUUCCCUAUAGAUCCAUCUUAUCUCUCAGGUAUCCAUAGGAAUAAGUCCAGGUUCAAAUAGAGAAAAAGGUGUUAUUGAAUUCCAUACGCGUAAAAAUAGAUGAAAAGGUGUUAUUGAAUUCCAUACAAGCAGUGGGCUCUCCAAUUCCAUACUUAUAUGACAUGCGAUAAGAUCCCGAUCCUGUUUCAUAUCCAUCUCCGGAUCCAGUUUAUACAGUUGGUGUUCCGCUACCCUUCUCAUCUAUCGCGGUCAGAUCAACUCCCAUUGCUUAGUACGCAGGCAAAAGAAAAGCCAUUAUUCAUAAAGUUAUUGGAGUAAAGAGAAGCAAGCAGUGAGUUUCUAGUUCGCCACACUAAGGGCGUUAGGGUUGCUGGAACAAGCCCUUGUUAUCGUUGUUCGAGACGGGACGCUUACGGCUUAUUGACUUGUGCAUUAGCUUAUAGGUUUGAUGGGUGUGCAUUAGCUUAUAGGUUUGAUGGGCGCUAUAUCUGUUUCGGGGCGCAUUAGAUUGACGGCUUGCUUGGACCACAACUAGGUAUUGGCUGUAACCUCUAUCUACGAGAUCACUCGCACCAAAAUAGACUCUACUGAUUGACUUACAAAUAGACUCUACUGAUUGACUUACAAAUAGACUCUCUCGAUUCACUUAGGUGUUUAUAAGCUGAAGACUUGACCGCUACACCUGCCCUGCUUUGCUUACCGCAGCACAAUCACCUCUAUCUACGACAAGGGAAGGAGCUGAGCUGGACAAUCUGUUUACUACUUUGACACUGAAUCAUCACUUACCGACACUAAAACCCAAAGAAACUCCACUUGAACUUGAAUACGAAACUAGAAACUGAGUAUUGCCAAGAGCGGAACCUCUCUAGACGACAAAGACAAGAACGGAAAGAGACUCCAGGCCAGAAGCGCAGCGUGAGCUUGAUGGUUAAGAAGAGAGGAUUGCUGUCAUUGAACUUGCACCGAGUCACCCAUGAAACCAAGGAAUCUAUCUUGCGCCAAUCGAGCACAAAGCUCCUCACGCGCAAAGUAUCGUCGGUGGCAAUAUGACCCCCUACUCUAUAUGAUCUGGCAAUACCUCUGAUUCUGAAAACGAUGAAGCAUACCCGCUUGCAACAACAGAACUCUAUGAGUAGUUUGAUGCUUACUUUCUUUCUACGGCCUCCUCUUCUCCCGCUGAUGCGGAUUCUCUGUCUUCCCUUGCAUAGCUUGUUGAGCUCGAGCAUCAAAGUCAUAGUGCCGUUGCUUGUUCCGUAGCUGGUUGACUCGCUUCACUCAUAUAGAUAUCUUUCUGGAUUUAUCAUAUAGAUAUAUUUGUUGAUUUAUUAAGUACUUAGCACUCCUUCCCUGACCGCUACGUGGGCAUGAGAUAAUAACCCAAACCUCUCUUUACGCUCUACAAAACCUCUCUCGUAGACGCCAAGAACUAUACGAAACUACUAUGACCGCACCAAACAAGCAACUCCGGACUCUAGCCUUUCCCUAACAAAACAUAUGACAGCUGGCUCUAAUGAAUUGAAUGGAACUGACUAAGAAAGCAGAACCUAUUCGUAUUCGUAGGUGUAGAAGGGGUAUAAGAGCGAGCGUAUAUGUUGGUGCGCAGGUGAGUGAAGUAAUAUUUUAUGGUGCGCCACUCAAUCAGUUACUAUAUGUUUGUGUUCUAAAGUCAAAAGGUGUUUGGUGCCUCUUGCUUAAGUACUGGGUUGAACAAAGUAAUCAAUUCAUGUAAAGUGCAAACAAGGGUAUAACAAAACAAACAAACUGCAGUUUGCCUCUUCCUAUCAUAUUGAGUGUAUUCCUAUCAUAUUGAGUGUAUAGGGUGCUAACUCGAAUGACUAUAAGGUAGGCAGUCUUGGUUCUUAUUUGAGUUUCGGAGUUUAACUUAAAUGCAAUUGAACUCUGCUUUAAGAAAAUAUCACUGACACCUUACUUAUAGAAAUUAGUAACAAAACAAAUCAUUGCUUCAAAACAGAACUCCGUAAGUGCUACUUCUAUUAGACUAAGUAAGCUUGUAAGCGUAAGCUUGUUUGCUUGUUGGCGAAGAGAGCGCUCAUCGUAUAGAAUUGAAGUGAAAACCAUAGCAUAGCUCUUGUUCUAUAAUAUGAAUAGAUAGCAUAGCUCUUGUUCUAUAAUAUGAAUAGAUAUAAGUGCUCUAACUGACAUCUUUUAGAGUGCUCUAAACAAACUGGAAAUCUUGAAGAACGAAUGUAGGCACCCGCUUCUAUACUUGACUAUUGAAUGGAAUUCACCUAUACCUAAAGGAUUCCGACUAGGAGAUGAUCUUCCAUUAUCAUAGAACUACCGGUACCCUAAUGGAGACAUACAUUAUUUAUGCUAGGCACCCAAUAGUAUCAAAUAAGAAUUGGAUAAAGAAGAGAAGAUAGUGCGGCACACCUAUUAGAGAAGAGAGUAACCCACUAGAACACUAUGUAUUUUGAAACUCACUGAACUAAACUCACUAGUACAUAUAAGUGAAAUAGUCACCAUUAUUCUACUCAACUAUCUUAUGCUUAUGGACUUCCCGCUCUGGUCAGGUAACUUUUAAUAGGAAGAGGAAAUCGUACUUACAGCCUACAUAGAAAGGUAGUAAAGGGGCAAGUGGGUCAAGGGGCAGCUAGCUCGACUCCAUCCCUACCAAGGCCUAAGCCCUUUUCUUUUCUUUUGGUGGACGGUCUUCAAUAAGUCACGCGUUCGCCUAUCCCGUAUACCGAGCGAGGAGACGAAAGAGAUAGACCGAAAUCUCCCUUCACGUUCGGCAGUAGGCAGAAAGCAGUAACUAGCAGGGGUAAGUUCCCCUUGGCAUAAUGCAUUCCAUCUGUCCUGAGUUUCCUUGUGAUCCAGCCAUUCCGCUAGAAAAAGAGAAAGAAAGCGAGUGGCGCUAGCGAGGAGAGACUUGGAUUUCGCCCGGAGCCCAUUCAUGUGGCAGUCCCUGUUUAAAGUAGCCAUAGGGUUACCGUAUCAGGCCAUUGAUAAGAGUCUCCACAACAGGAAUUGCUCCCGAGCACAUAGCAAGUAAUAAAUCAAUUCGAACAGCACAGGAACUAGCGGCCCCUUUUUUCACUCGCUACCGUUUAGCUCACUUCCUACCGCCCAGAACACAUCUAUUGUAAUAAAAAGAGUGGAGCGGCAGGAGUUCUCCCGCACAAAGGCUUGGUUUACUCCACAGAAAAUCCAUAAUGGAAUGGAAUUAUUAUAAUGAUCAAAAAAGAUGAGAAUUGACACUCUACUUCUUCCUAUUAGUUUAUAUCGGUGUAGUAAUAAGGAAAGUCAGCCUAACAAUCAAGCAAGCAAGGCUCUAAGGGUAACAUUCCAUAAAAUAUUUCAUAAUUCCAAACAGUAGUACCGGGAACAAGUACAGACCUUUCCGCGAGGAGAAAGAUUUGAUCCCCCGCGUUUUAGUUUGAAAGCCAGGUUCGAGAUAGAGUGAGCGUAACAAGUAAGAUUGACUACCUGCUUCGAGAUAGAGUGAGCGUAACAAGUAAGAUUGACUACCUGCCCUGGUAUUCUAUAUAAAUCACCCAUCAGUACAGAAUGACAGAGGUAAUUAUAACACUAGCAUGGACCCCACGGGCGUUGCGGGGACAACUAGAGAUAUUAGAUCGGGAGCGGAAGAGCUUGAACUCAGUCUAAAAGUGGGGAUCAACGAGUGAGCGGAAAGAAAACCUAAGACGGUAGAAACUAAGCCCCGCCCAAUGGCAUUGAUGAAGUGCCCCGCCCGGUGGCAUUGAUGAAGUGCUUCUCUUCUCCCCGGGCAUCGAAUGUACCUCGGGCAAUAUCGUUAAGUUAAUGAAUUGGGCCAACGUGCUGCAUUGGGACAACGUGGUCUUGCUUGGUCGACGUACUCACCACAUAACCGAGGCGGAAACAAAGCAAAAGGCGACACAGAGGUAUUUCUUGUCAAGGUCUAGUCGAAACUUAGGACGUAGUGGAUCAUUAACCUAUUCAAUGAAGGUCGGUCCCCAGGCCAUGCUACGAUGGUCCCACCACCAGGCAUAGAAUGUACCUAGCGCAUCCCCAUUAAUAGAACCUCGGGGCAUCCCAUCCGCAUCUGUUUAUUGGGGUGUUCCUGUAUUGGU
rnacentral:lncRNA from 1 species